rnacentral:lncRNA from 1 species
UUAUAUGGUUAUUGUGGGAAAUUUUGUGACUGUAGUUUGAGAUUACUUGUAUUUGGGUUUUUUCUUUGAUAGUGAUUUAGUCGAUUCUGGAUUAUGGUUUUGGAUUUAUUAGUAGUUGUAUAAUCAAACUACCUUAUUCUCAUUGCUUGUGGUUAUGUAUCUAUGCUCCUACACCGUGCAUGUAUAGGGGAGACUCUAUACGCAUGGACAGAGGAUACCCUGUGCGUGUGGCGGGUCUGUGCAUAUCUCGAGUAAGGUUUACAAAAAAAAAAUUUAUAUUUUUUUCCACAACUAUGUUUUCAAAUUGGAUGAUUUUCUCAAAAUUAGCUUUCCAAAAAGGGCCCGGGGCGUGACACUUUUAUUAACCAAAAACUCUGUUUUCACAAUCGAUAUAAAGCAUAUUUGUAAUAAAUCAAAUCCUAAUUCUAAUCCUAAUCAAAUUCCAUAAUUUUAGAAAUUUUUCUAAAAUAAAUAACUCUAAUUCUAAUUUAAAACAUCCAAAUCCAUAUCCCUAAUUUUUAGAAAUUUGCUCUACAUGAAAAAUCCUAAAGAAAAACUCUAAAAUAAAUUAACAAUAAUAAUAAUUUCAAACGUUACAAAAGAAUUCUAUAUAUUUUUUUUUGGUCGCAUCAGAAGGUUUGUCAUUGAUCAAGAGACUGUAUGUGUUGAAUAUAAUUUAGCGGUUGUUUAAUAUGAUAUCCGAAUAGAAAAAUCUGAGUCCACUAGGAUCCAAAUUUGAGUCCAAUAGCAUCCAAGGAAAAUCUGAGUCCACUAGGAUCCAAGUUUGAGUCUAGUAGCAUCCAAGUUAGCUUCGUUUAAUUUUCACCCAUUGAAUUCUGAGUUAGAUAGGUUCCAAGAUAGUUUUGCGUAAUUUCAUCCUUUGAAAUUAUCAAAAAGUUUCAAGCCAAGAAAUGAGAAAUAAUAUUGAGUAAAAAUUUUGAAUAUAAGUAAUUAAUCAUGCAUGGAGAGAGAGAAUCCAGUUGAUGGUUAUGUGUGAGUAAUUAAUCAUCGAAGAAAAAUCCGAGUCCACUAUAUUUGGUUCAGUUUAUAAAGUUUAGUAAUCUUGGCAAUACAGUAUAGUCUAUUCCAAAAUUAUUUUUAUCCAUAUUUGGCAAACUUUUUUUUUACUAUUUACAAAUAAUAUUUUGUUAUUGAAUUUUAUUUUAAAUAAUUUACUUUUUAAAUUUUUAAAUUUUAAAUUCAAAAAAAAAUAUAAAAUUUCAUAUUUUAAUUUAAAAUAUAAAUAUGAAAUUCAUAAAUGUAAAAUCUAAAAUAUAAAUAUAAAAUUUAAAUUUAAAAAAUCUAAAUUUAAAUUUUAAAAAUUAAAAUUUAAAAAAAUUAAAUUUUAAAAAUUAAAAUACAAAUUUGAAUUUUAAAAUUUAAAAUUUAAAAUUUAAAUUUUAAAGUAAAUUUUUAAAUAUAGAUUUAAAUUUAAAUUUAAAAUUUAAAAUUUGAAAUUUAAAAAUUAAAAUUUAUAAUUUAAAAUUUGAAAUUUGAAGAUUAAAAAUUUUAAAUUUUAAAUUUGAAAUUUAAAAUUUGAAGAUUAAAAAUUUUAAAUUUUAAAUUUAAAAAUUAAAAAUUAAAAUUUAAAAUUCAAAAUUUAAAAGUUGACAAUUCAAACUUUUAAAUUAAAAUUUUUAAAUAAUGUAUUGAAAGGGUUUCAGUAGUUGGAGGGGUAAACUUGUAAUUUUAUAACAUGCAAGAUUAGCCGCCUUUAGCAAUUCAAAAUACACACCCCCCCAUCAGUAAUAUUUUUGGUGUAAUCCUACACCAUUUGUAAUGCUAUAUUACUGACUAAAAUUUAAAAUUUAAAAUUUGAAAGUUGAAGAUUAAAAAUUUUAAAUUUUAAAUUUGAAAAUUCAAAAUUAAAAUGAAAAAUGAAAAAUUUAAAGUUGACAAUUCAAACUUUUAAAUUAAAAUUUUUAAAUAAUGUAUUGAAAGGUUUUCGAUAGUUAGAGGGGUGAACUUGUAAUUUUAUAACAUGCAAGAUUAGCCGCCUUUAGUAAUUCAAAAUACACACCUCCCCCAUCAGUAAUAUUUUUGGUGUAAUCCUGCACCAUUUGUAAUACUAUAUUACUGACCAGACUACAUACCGGAUGAACCAAACGCAAUAAUCCUGGCAGGAUUGCAUGUAAUCCUUCCAGGAUAACCCAAAAUACACACCUCCUCCAUCAGUAAUAUUUUUGGUGUAAUCCUGCACCAUUUGUAAUACUAUAUUACUGACCAGACUACAUACCGGAUGAACCAAACACAAUAAUCAUGGCAGGAUUGCAUGUAAUCCUCCCAGGAUAACCCAAACCAAAUGCACCUACCUUUCCCAUCAGUAAUAUUUUUGGUGUAAUUCUGCACCAUUUGUAAUACUACAUUACUGACUAGAUUACAUAACGGAUGAAUCAAACGCAGUAAUCCUGAUAGGAGCAAUAGUCAUACUUGGCCAACUUCCAAUCACAUAUUUUCUUACCAAAUUAAUAAAUUAUUGUUAGAUAUUUUAUUUUGAUAAACAAAUAAAGUCUUAGUUAAGACAACAGAAGCCGAAAUGAAGAUAACACAUGACGAACAACCGAAAAUAAUUAAACAUUCCAUAUUACUCAGUUCAUGCAAUUAAUUUGUGCUCGAUCAACGGUUCAAAUAGCAACUCAAUUAAAUUACAAAUAAUAACUUGGUUGUCCACACAUUAUUUCCUAUAAAAUUAUUACAAAGUAUCUAACAAUCUGAGAUUUUGAUGAUACUAAACACUGAUUAAUUAAAUUAAUUCGGAGAAUAACAAUAAUCAUAUUAAUUACCAUACUUCGUUAUAUAUACUUCAUACUUUUUUUACAAUGACUUCAUCUAUUUACAUAAAAUAAUUAAACGGCUCCCUCAUUAAUGGUGGUUUUAAUGGUGCGAGGAACCCGUGCAAUUCCACUUGGUUCCAAUGCCCAUACACGUACCAUACCACGUGUGGGUAUGUUGAAAACACCAAUUAAUUCCACCUCAUCAAAGACCACAAUAAUAAUAUACCUUGUCUAUGUACAAUUACUAUACGAAGCCAAAACUACUCCCAUUAAUCUAGCCUCAUUUAAUCUCUUAAUUUCUUCUUCUUCGUAAUCCUUAGUUGCCUAGGUCUGAAUAAUCGGAUAAUAUUUUUCAUGCAUGGAUCAGACUAAGUAUGGUAGCGAUGGACGCACGGCUCACUGAAUUUUAGUCUCCGUAGUUCCGCUGCCAACCUUCUGAGAAAAAAUAUUCAGUCAGACAUGUCGCACAAAGAUGCACUGCUCAGUAUUAGUAAUAUCGGGCAGUAAUUAAUAACAUAGAUGUGUCUGAUAGAAUAUUCUUCGCCUCCUUCGGAAGCCCUCAAUUGACGAUGUCCAAGAUCCAGUCAAGAUGCGGGAAGCCGGCGUAAUCCUCCUCCUCACCGUCCCCACCGUCAGCACUCGCGAAGCCGUUAAUGCCGUCACCUUUUGCAGCAGAAGAAGCAGGAGGAGGAGGGGGAGAAGAAGAAGAGAUAGAAGAAGAAGAAGAAGAAGAAGAAGAAGAAGAACCAGCGGUACCGGCGCUGGCGCAAUAGGCGGCGGCUUCGGAGCUCUCCAUCUCUUCCGAAUAUGAGUUACCGAGACAUGCGCCGGUGCAGGCACCGGCGGCGGCGGCUUCGGAGCUGCUGUCUCCCCCUUCGGUCGAGCUGCCGAGACACACGCUGCCGCCGCAGCGCAGGCAGUACUGGACUGCCGCCGGGCGGAGCUGCUCCGGCGCGUGCGCGAAGAAGCAGAUCUUUCGGCUGCAGGCCGGCCCGGCGUCGCACAUCUUGGUGCGGAACCGCGCCGGGUGGAGCCAGAACUCGAAGACGCCGUGCGCGAACUCGCACGCCUGCCCGCGGCAGCAGUCCCCCCGCUGGCGGUACUCCGGGCAGACGGCCGCGCUGUAGGGGAACUUGCGGGGGUCGCGCCGCCGCGCCUUCUCGCCGCGGUGCGCGUAGGGGCACGCCGUCCAGUCGUGGCUCUUCUUCUUCGAGCAGCUCUUCACCUUGUACGUGUACAUCAAGAACUCGUCCGACUGCUCUUUCUUCGGCCGCUCGCGCAUGUCGUCCGCCGCACUCGCGCUGCCGGCUGCGGUGGGAAGAAAGGCGAGCUGAUAGUAUGAAGGGAGGGUAAUUGUGGGACGCUGGUAAUCGGCAAAAUCGUCGCUAUAUCCAUCAAACAUGGCCAUUUUUUUUUUUUUCCUUCUUCUUCUGGGUUGGGGGAAGGGGUUGCGGAGGAGCGAGGGAUUCAGAAGAAGAUGAUAUAAAAACAAUUAAACCAUCACGAGAAAUGAGAGCAGCUUCUUCUUCUUCUUCUUCUUCUUCUACUGCUUCUCCUUCUUCUUCACAUAAUUAAAAAAUUAAAGAUUUGGAGCAGUGCUUGCUAGGGAGGGUUGUUUAUUGUGCAUUUUUAGUAGCUUCAUUUUGUCCUGCUUAUGUCAUGCGUAUGCAAAGCUUAAAAAGUUUUUUGUACUCUUUCUUAGGCGCUCAUUUACCCGAGUGGAAGAUAAGUUUACCCCGACUUUAUCAUUUUAUAGAGUUGGGAUAAAGUAAUUUUUAUUUUGUUUUACUUUUUUUAUUUUCCAUAUUUUUAAAUAAAGCUUGUUUACAAGCUCGUAAUUUUAUACUUAAAUUCUCAAAGGAAUUCAAGAUCUAAACUAGAAAAGUGUCUUUACCAUCUGUGUUAGCUUAAAUGGGUCAGCAUCCUGCCCUGUGGCGGGAGGCCAUGUGGGCCGAGUCAUGUUCGAAAUGGCGUGAGGCUGAGUUGGGUCGAGUCAUGUUCGAAGUGGCGUGAGGCCAGAUGGGCCGAGUCACAAUCGAGAUCCAUGGGCGCUGUUUCUAUACGCUUUAAGUGAAUUGGUUGCGUAUUUCUAACAGCUCGAGCUUUUGGGAUUAAUGGUUAGCUAGCGCCAACGAUCCGACAAGUGGUAUCAGAGCCAGAGGUCACGGGUUCGAUUCCUGCAUGCUGCAAAUGUGUCGAGGUGCUGGAGGGGGGAUUGUUGGCUUAAAUGGGCCGGCCAGGUGGGCCGAGUCACAAUCGAGACCUGUGGGCGCUGUUUCUGUACGCUUUAAGUGAAUUGGUUGCGUAUUUCUAACAGCUCGAGCUUUUGGGAUUAAUGGUUAGCGCCAACGAUCCGACAAUCUGAACUAAGAUGGUUUGGCUAAUAAAAAAGAUUUUUUCGUAUUGCUUAUGACUCAAGAUUUUUAAAUUUUGAAGAUAUUAACUACUACAUUGCUAGCAUAUGUUGAACAAUAUGGUAGAAAAUUGUCUAUACCAUAUAUCCGGCUGUUUGAGUUACGCACGUGCUGAUCGAACAAUAUGCGCUAGGCAUGUAAAGAUACACUUGCAAUGCUUGGUUUACGAUACAAAAUGGAUUUUAUAUAGUCAAGUUUACAGUUUAAGAAAAAGAGAGUUAUUAAGAUAUUUUGAUAUUUAUUUUAGAAAAGAAAAAAUGAUUGUAGCUAGCCCUACAUGUAUAUUGUUGAGAUUAUCUUUUCAACCUAAAUUACACCAUUUUUGCAAUUUUUAUGUAAAAAAAAAAUACAAGGUAACUAAAAUGAGACUUUAACUUAUUUAAGAUCAGUAAAUCGAGACUAUAACUUAUUUUGUUUUAUUAUUAUUAUUUUUUUGAAUAUAACUGAUUAUUACAUAUAUAGUCCCUCCUUAACUAUUUGUCUUACACGAAGAGAUCAUCCUAAUCUUCAGUCUGAUUCAUGAUCAGUAUUAAUGUUUGAAAAAAAAAAAAAUUAGCAAAAUUAGCUAAACAAAAACAAUUUCGCGGUUUUCAUAAGUCAUCAUUAAUUUGGCUCAUUGCUACAAUUACCGUUGAACUAUAACCUUAAUCAGAUGAGUUUACUAGAGAAAAAGUUAUUUGGAUUCUAUGUUGUUAAGAAACGAAUACAGCGUAUAGAUAUACGGAUUGGAUAUAAACACAGAAUAUUAGUAUACUAAUGUAUUAUUUAAGCAUUGCUAUGGGUACCCCAUUUGGAGUUCUCCAUAAUGUUGUAGAUGAUGACAUCAUUAUUAUUAUACUCUAAACAUCAUUACUAAAUCCCAAACACCAUCACUAAAUCCUAAGUACUCUAACCCUCCACAUAUGUGUUCCAACAAAUCAACAAUAUUAUAGAAUACAGAUUUUAGGGUACAUCAAAUAUUUCUUUGUUUAUUAAUAGAGUGAUGCUACAGAUACCCCCCAAACACCAUCACUAAACCCUAAAUACCACUAUUGCACUCUAAGGUAUCGUUUGGUUCGGAGAUAAGCAAAAAGUGGCUUUCCCAGGGAUAGGUAUGAAUUGAGGUAUAAGCGGGGAUUGGAUCAAUUUUGCAUUUGGAUGAAAAUUGGAUAAUUCUUGGGAAUAAAAAAAAUAGUAUUUGGUUAGGUAAGAUAGAAUAAGAAAGAUUGUGGGUUUUUAUAAAUAAAAAAGUAAUGAUAUUACUCUCUUAUUAUAUUUAAAUUUGAAUUUUUAAAAUUUAAAAUUUAAAAAUUUUAAUUUUGAAAUUUCAAACUUUGAAAUUUAAAAUCUCAAAUUUAAAAUUCAAAAUUUCAAACUUUAAAUUUAAAGAUCAAAUUUAAAUUUGAAAAUAUAAAAUAUCAAAUUUUAAAUUUCAAAAAUUUAAAAUAUUAAAAUUUAAAAUUAAAAUUAUAAACUUUAAUUUUGAGAUUAUAAAUUAUAAAUUUUAAACAUUUAAAUUUUUAAUUUUUAAAUUUUUAAUUUUUAAAUUGCGGUGGGAACAAUUAAUUAAAAAUAAUUUAUUAUAAUAAAUUUAUAAAUUUUUUUAAAAUUCUACUUACAUUUAAAUUUAAUAAAAAGAAUUUAUUAUAAUAUUUAAAUAUAAUUUAUUAUAAUAUUUAAAUAUAAAUAAUAUGUAUUAAUAUAGUACGAUUAAUAAUUUUAUAAUAAAAAUAAUGUAUUGUAAUAUAUAACAUAUAAUAUUUAUAUACUUUAGUUUUAGUUCAAUUUAUAAUUUUAAUUAAGUUUGAAAUUAAGCAUUGGAAUAACACUAUUCCACCAAAAUAGUGGAAUAGCAAAUCCAUUGCUGUUCCGGAACAAUCGGGAAUAGCAAAGUUUGACCAGGAUAAAAUAUUCCUGCCAAAUUUUACCCCGUUUGGCAGAAUAGCGGGGAUAACUUUCGUUAUCCCCGCUUAUCUCCCAAACCAAACAGGGCCUAAACUCUAAACCCUUCGCACAUGCAUUCCAACGCAUCAACAAUAACUCUAAACCCUUCACACAUGCAUUCCAACACAUGAACAAUAUUACAAAACACGGAUUUUAAGGUCCAUCAAGUACUUCUCUUUUUAUUUAUAGGAUAUCGCUACAUGUACCCUCAAGUACCCUACAAUACUAUUGAUGAUGUGAUAAUAUCAUUAUUACAUUCUAACCAUUAAUUACUAAAUCUUAAAUAUAUUAUGAAAUUCUAAGUGUAACCAUUAUGCCUAAAUUCUAAGUCCUAACCCAUUUAUACAUGUUUGUCAACUCAUCAGCUUUUUGGGUACUCACAUUUCUCUUAUGGGAAAACUUCAAAAACCCCCCCUGUGGUUUCAUGCAUUCUCACUUUCAUACCCUGUGGUUUAAAACGUAUCAUUUUGCCCCCCUGUGGUUUCAUUUUUCUCUUUUUGUUAUCAAUUUUAUUAUUUUUUUUUUCUUAAAUCAGUGACAAAAUUAAAAUUAAAGGAUACUAAAGUGAAUAUUCGAUAAACAUAGAUGGUUAUCUGAAGUUUUUUGUAUAUAAUUUAACAAAAUAUUAACGAAAAAGCUUCUGAAAAGAUAAAAACGAAACCACAGGGGGGCAAAAUGAUACGUUUUAAACCACAGGGUACUAAAGUGAGAAUGCAUGAAACCACAGGGGGGGUUUUUGAAGUUUUCCCUUCUCUUAUUAAUAAGCAUUAAUAUUAAUUGCUCACUAAUUUUUAUAUACUACAUCAGCCCAGUGCAGUAAAAAGUAUCCUUAACAAGUAGCUAAGGAAUGUAACAAAGCCUCAGACUGGGGGAGAAAUUAUUGCCUAAACUAGAUGUUUUUAUGUGCAAUUCAUGCACCGUACUCUAUAUUUUAUAUAUAGGGCAAUUGCUUAUAUACUCCUGAAAAUUUCGAUUUUUAAUUUACCUCUCUUAAAAUGCUAAUAUUAAAAGUACUUUUUUACGUUCUAAGUUAUUUCAAAUAUAUCCCUAGAUUCUAUUACUGAACUGUUAACAAUAGCCGUUAUUUUUGUAAAAUUAUUAUUUUACCUUUUCAAAUGCAUCCUUCUACCAUCACCAACUUUUCUUAUUUGUCCUUAAGUUAGGAGCAAAAAAAGCAUUUUAACUUUUGGUCUUUUCAAAUAUAUCUCUCUGCCAUUACCAAUUUUUCUUAUUUACCCUUAAGUUAUGGGCAAAAGAGAUAUAUUGAUUUUUUUAAAACUCUGGUAGACAUUUAACUCACGUUUAAUCCGAAAAAACUUAACGGGUGGCAAUUGUGGGGGUGUUUUUGAAUAACGAAGGAACAUAUGAACAGUAUAUUGAAAAUAAAAAACAAGUAGGGAUAAAUUGGAUAUUUCCGAAGUUUUGAGAGGUAUAUAGGAAAUUAUACCCUUAUAUUUAUAUUAGAAAAGUAAAAAAAGAAGGGGAAGAAAAUAUGAUAUACGUGAUGUAAAAUAUCUAAUAGGUUUAUACAUUAAAAAUCAUAAGUUUUAAAACUCUUUUUUAUGUAUAUAUGAACUUAGGUAUUAUAAAGAUUUAGGAUAAACUUCAAGUUUUUCUCCUGUGAUUUAUUUUUAUGGUUUAAAAAAUUGUGCUUAACUAUUUUCUAACUUUAUUUUUGUUUCACCAUAGAUUUACUCUUAAUUUUUUUUAAAAAAAAAUUCUUCUACAAACUAUAGGAUGUAUUUUACUAUCUUAUGACACGCACUUUUCUUUAUUGUAGUAAUAAAAAAGUAUUAGUUUGUUAUCUUGUUUAAUAAUAGUUUCUUACACUGGAACAAAAAUAAAACUAUGUCUUUGUCAAUUCAUUGCAACAUUUUGAGCCAAAUGGUAAAUUUGGCAAAGUAAAAUACGUUAUAUCAUACCAUAGUGGGAUAAUUUAAAGUUUAUCCAUAUAUAUUAAAAAAUCAAACAUGUAUAAAGAAAUAGUUUUGUUCAUAAAAAAAAAAAAAAAACUAAUCUUAAAAUUUAUGAAUUUUUUAAUAUAUAUGUAGACCUGUUAAUUGAACAAAAAUCUAAUGAAAACAACUUGAGACCGCAUGACUCACCAUUCGUGCGGCUUGGGAAAAAAAAAGGGGGCGUUAUUGUUUUCCUUUUUUUAAAAAAAUCAAAAAUAUAAGCAAAAAAAAUUAAAAAUAUAAAUUUUCAGAAAUAAAAUUUAUAGAAGAAAAAAUUUUAUAAAAAAUAAUUUUAGAAAGCAAUGCACAUGUAAGGAGCUAAUUACUUCUAAUAUAUUAUUUUUAUAAGACAAAAGUGAGAAAGAUUAAGUUUAAAAAAAAUUAUAUUUGACUGGUUAAUGUGCUUUUAUUUAAAAAACUAAAACUUUUAAUAAAAUAUGGGACUUGUUUGUAACAAAGAAGAAAGAAGUAAUUAAUUCCAUCUCUCUCACAAUAAUUAAUUACUUCUAAUAUAUUAUUUUUAUAAGACAAAAGUGAGAAAGAUUAAGUUUAAAAAAAAUUAUAUUUGACUGGUUAAUGUGCUUUUAUUUAAAAAACUAAAACUUUUAAUAAAAUAUGGGACUUGUUUGUAACAAAGAAGAAAGAAGUAAUUAAUUAUUGUGAGAGAGAUGGAAUUAUUUUAAUUUUGAACAAUUUAGAAAAUAUUAUGCAAUUUUGUAUUGUUUUGAAGAAAAAAACACAUGAAAUUUAAAAGAAUAAAAUAAAAUAAAAUGCGGAUUUAUAUUUUCUUAAAUUUAUUUUUUUUAUUUAUAUAUUUUUCACUUAUAUUUUUUUAAUAAAUAAAUGAUAAUUACUUGCUCCAACUGGUUAAUUGGAGCCCUGGGCACCACCCAAUAAUAUGCCUGUAGUUGCUACAUAGUAGAGUUAUACAGAAAAAAUUUACAGUAUCACACUUGCACCAUAUCAUCAGUAACAAGUUAAUUAGAUAUCUCUUCUUGAGAGAAAAAUAUAAUAAAAAUAUUUUUCUAUUAAUCAUGAUAGGACGGGUGAACCCAGCCAAUUCUAUUGGUUGGAGAUACUAUGUCAGUAAUAUAACUGGUGCAUUCUAAAAUUUUUCAGUUACGAGGCGAACUAUGAGGCGUGUCCCGCCCUUUCAUGCAGAAAAAUAGAAAUGGUACGAGGAGUGACACGUGGGGCCCACCCACUCGGGUUGUUAAGUACGGCAACAAACCUACCUUAGCGCGGCUCAACGCGUGGCCCGGCAAAUUGACCCUCUCUCUUCACGGAGGAAUUCUACACUGUCACACUUGCACCACGUCAUCAAUAACAAACCAAUCACAUUUCUUCUUUUCAAACAAAAGUACAAUAAAAAUACUUUUUUACAAUCAUGAUGGAACAUAUAUUCUUAAAAAAAUUAAUUUGAUUAGUUUGUUACGCCACGUCACUAAUAUAUCCGUUGCAUUCUAGAAUUUUUCCUCUUCACGAUGCCAUGCACGUUACAUAUAUACAUUCCCCCGCACCCUCCCCUUCUCUCACCUUUUCUCUUCCCCCUCUCAUCCUCCUCCUCUUGUUCUGACCACCUUUUACAAACAAAACGGGUUAGCAGCAGCAGCAGCAGCGACACGUGGAACUGGCAACUUUGGGAAGACUCCUGUACGUGACACGCGAGUGGUAACGCUUUUCUCCAUUUUUUUUUAUAUGCUAAAUUAUAAUUAUGUACGGCUUACUGUAAAGAUAUUAAAUAAUAAAUAUGUUGUUAUAUUUUUAUUACUAAAUAUAAAUUUUAAUUUUAAUAAUCUUUGCAUGAAGAUGACAUAACCUAUAUUUGUAUUUAUUGUACUUUCCUAUAACCUAUGCAUGUACUUUAAUUUCUACUGGUAAAGCGACAUACGCGUUGAAGUUGAUAGAUGUACAGAUCUUUCUUAAAAUUUUCUUACACAUUAUGUGAGGACGAAAGUAUAAUAUAAGUGCAUUGUUCACAUUCUAAGCUAUUACAUAAAUGAACCACUUUGCAGUAAUUCCUAUACAUAUAUAUUGCAAUUAUAAGAAUACACAUGAUAAGCGAUCAAUUAUAAUGCCUAGUAAGUUUAUAAAUAACAUAUUAAUUCAAUAAACUGAAGCAGUAUAAUAGUAUAUGCAACACAAAGGCCACAAAUAAAAUAAUGAGAAAGUAAAAGAAAGAAAUUACAUAUUAAUGCACAAUUAGCACUAUCAAUGAUUUUUCUAACCUCAAGUUCUAUACAAUUGAGGACUCAUAGUAAAGAGAGAGUGGAGAAAAUGUCACCGAGCGUGCACCACUGUACCGACUUCGGAUCGAAAUACCCACAUGUACGAACGUAGCGCCUGUCUUUCGAUUGUGGAAGCCGGGUUAGAAUCCAACCCAUAAAUAUAAAACACUAAACUCACAACCCCACAAUUAAUCCCACGGGAAUCGGUUUUCCAAAAUCGAUUACCGUAACUCGCCGGAAGUCCCAAAAAUCGCACCGGGACUCCGCCGGGAACAACGAAGUGUCCCGAGACUCACCGACUAGCGCCACGAGUCACCCACUGCCACACAACACCAUAAUAAAGGUGUCCUGGCUGCAAAACACGUAAACUCACAUCGAAACGGUUAUCGUCGGAUAACCGUUCCGAUCCGGGUUCCCGAAAGUGUCAAUUUCAACACCGAACCCACCGUUGCUCACCCGUCGUCUCCGAACCCUCAAAACAACGUAAGUAACCAGCCAAUAAGGCUCAGUGACAAAGUAUAAUACACUAAUGCAUUGUCGGAAGAAAUCCGAACCGAAAUCGCGUUCCGUCGGCGAAUUUCGCCGAAAAACGCACCGAAAAUCGAUAUUCAAUUUUCGCAAAGGCCUCGGGCCUUGGACAAUCAGUCUAGAGAUCACCCGCCACCCGCACACACUGCCCAUAGCAGCCACGAAGUGUACAUUUGCACAAAAGUCCUUACAAUCACAUAAAAUCACAUCAUUUUAUGUGAUUUUCGAGAUUUUACAGCUCGACAGCACAAUUGAGGGAUUUCGAGGCCGGCCGAGACACAUGCUGAUAGGUCUCGUCGUGUCGGAGUCCGUGCUCAUGAUCCAGAGCAUAACCGUCCACUUUGGACAACGCGACAGCGACAAAAGUUCAGCGAACUACGUGCGCUGAACCUAAACUGCGCUUAAUUCAAAAACCGGGACUUACUGACCCUAAAGGAGAUGAGCACGAUGAUCAGCACUGAUCAAGGAUCAUCAUGCUCACUUUCAAAAGCAUCGAGGUGCCGCCAGGUCGCCGGAACAGUGACCCGAACAGGAAACGAUGGACAAAAUAGCUUAAUACAAGCUUACCUGGUCAAAGGGAGCUCAGGUUGGCCGACAACGGCCGGACGGCGGGCACCGGUAGCAGGCUGUUGCAACCGGUGUGGGGAGGUCGACGCUCGCGGCGGCGGGUAGCGGGAAGCAGCCGGAGGGGCGGCGGAGCAAGGUGAGUCCGCACCGCUAGGGCUCCGGUUCAGGGAGCUGCGGCGGCCACCGCGACAAGCGGGGCGCUCAGAGGCAACGGCGACAGGUCGCCGGAGGCCGGAGGGAGAAGGCGCAGCUGGCCCCAGGCGGCGGCGGCGCGCGAGAGAGGAGAUGACUCUGCCUCAGCCCGAGCUUGCUCCAUGUGGCCGCAAGCUGCCAGAGCAGCAGCGGCGGCGCGCAGGGACAGUUGCGACUGGCGGGGGAGGUCGUCAGAGGUCGGAGAAGGGCAACCCAAGUGGUCCUAAGUAGCGGCGGCGCGAGGGCCAGGAGCCAGAGCUACCUCAGCCCGAGCUGGCUCAGCUUGGCCGCAGGCUGCCAGGCCGGCAAUGACGGCAUGCGGGGACAGCGGCGAUCGGUAGGGAAGGUUGCUGGAGAUCGGAGCACGGCUAGGGGAGGAGCCCGUGGGUGAAGAGCCCUCCAAGUUGCUGCUCGGACAAAGGUGGAGGAAGGUGGUGGAGAAGAUGAUGGAGAGGGUGAAGGGGUAGAUUCCGGUGGCCGGCGACGUGCGCAGGCGGACGGGGUGUGGGCGGCUAGUGCAGGGGGAGGUGCUGACGGAGGCAGGGGAUCAGCUGAGGGAGGAAGGCAUCUAGGGUUAGGGUUUCAUCAAUGAAACCCUAAAUGCCAAUUUAAACCAAGUGUAAUUUUGCAUGAUAGUCCUCCAAAGAUGAUUGUUUUUAACUAAGUCCCUCAAGUGCGUGUAUUUUGCGCGUACGCAACUCAAAAUUCGAAAUCAAGCAAAACGGUGCAUAAUAUGGAGAGUUUUGCGACUUUUCCGUUUUGCCAAUUUCGACCCCUUCCCGAUCUUCACACGAUAUCAGGUGAUCCGUCUGUCGGAUUUGCGAACAGACUGCAUCAGCGCGUUUAGUACGUCCUUGGCAUCAACAUCACUAUUUUGUUUUGCCCGAUUCGGUGACCAAUUUGCAACGAAACCAUCCUCUCCGAAAACCACCUACACAUACACACACACACACACACACACACACACACACACACACACAUAUAUAUAUAUAUAUAUAUCAAAUUCAAAAUUCAAAUUUGAAUUCCUUUAUUCAAAACCUCAGAUAUUACAGAGUAGAUGUUCUUUACCUUUCUAGCAUGUUGAAUAAUAAGAAAAAUCCUAUAAGAAUUACAUGAAACGACAAAUCUCACCAAAGAAUUAGAUUAUAAGCCUAAAAUGAAUGUGCAAGAAAAAAUAAAUUAAUAUAGAUCAAAUCCUUAAAGAGUGACAAUAGUAUUUAGAAAGCAAAUACGAAGCGAAAACUACAAAGCAAAAUAAGAAAUAUUAUUAAGUACUUUUCCGUUCUCAGGUAGCAAUUGCUCCAUAUCUUUUUCUUUUUUUUACUUUGAUUACAAAUCAGAGGGUUAAGUGAGCAUGUUAAACUCAUUUAAAACUAAGGUUACGACAUGGUUAUGCUAUUUGAAUAGGAAGCUCUAAAAUUCUUCUUGUUCUUACAAUCUAUUUUUAGAUUUGCAAAAAAGAAUCAUCUAUCAUUCGUGUAGUAAAUAGCAAUUAAAUGCGCACAUCGAUCAAACACCUCUGAGCAUUGUUAGCUAUUGUUAUCAAAUAUGCCAAAAAAUUUCGAAAAAGAUAUAACAUUUGGUUGAAGCAAAAGGAAUGUCUGCAAGUAGUUUUCUAUAGAGAAGCAAACUAAGAACUCUUAUCAAAACAUUAUACAUAAUAUUAAGAGAUAAAAGGUGAAAGACAGAAUAAUCACAGCCUCAUAAGUAAUCAAAAGCAUACGAUAAUAAAUUGGUAAAGUGCAAUAUAGGCAAAUUUAUACAAUUACAAAUAUAUGAAUCUAGAGUUUUGAAAACUUCUUCACAUUUUGGGAAAUGUGGAUCCAAUGCUCUUUCAUGCUUUGAUCUCUUUCUACACCUUAAGAAUAAAGAAAAUUAUACUAUAACAAUUUGGUGAAGAGAAUGUGGAUAAUAGUGAUGUAAUAUUAACAACAAAUAGUAAGAAAAAAUAAAGAAAAUCAAUAAGAAGACGAACUAAUUAAAGGUAAUUAAAUGUCAUAACUUGUGAUAUAAAAUGAAGGUAAAAAAAUAGACACAUCAUUCUUUCAGCAUAUAGUAACAGACUAAAAAGGAAUGAAGAAUAAUAAAAAAUAGAAUAAAUAAAUAGAAGUUCAAAGCCUACAAAUAAAUAGGUUUUCAAUGUUACUUUUGGAUAACCAACACAAUAGGAAAAAAAUGAGUAAUAAUGAAUGCUAAUUAAAACAUUAUGUAAUAUUUGAUCAUAUCCUUAAUAGUUAAGAUUACUUGCACGUUCUCAUGUGACUUCUUAAGAAUACACUAACAAACAAUCCUAUGAUAAGCAAGAGUAGAUAGAUUAAAUAUUCUCUAUUUAUUUAACUUUCGGUGAAAUACAUAGAAACUUAGGUUAGCUUAUGCAGAAAAUACACCAAGCACUUUGGAAAGCUAUAGUUCUUUGUUGUAACAACUGACCACCUAGAGAAUGCAAUGAUUUAACAUCAAACCAAGGGAGGGUAGCUUAAUAGUGACAAAAGUGUUGUCUGUGGAGAGGUAAGAGUGAACCUAACUCUAGGGCUAUCUUAAUUUGAGGCAGAAUUCAGUAGCUUAAGUCGAGGAAAAAAUUAAUAGCAAAUGAAGGAUGGUGAGGAUGCAAAGGUAAGCUGCACAAAAGAUCUUGGGGCAGCAUUGAGAUUACAUCCUUGGUCAAGCCAUAAGACCAGUGGUUGUGAUAGUUCCAUUUUCUAAAUAUUCGUAGUCAUCUAACUUGCCAAAAGGAGAAAAAAAUCCGAAUUUCACACCAAAGCAUGCUGUCACAGCCUUAGAAUUUUUGUUCGCAAAGCCCGUAAGGCGCACGCCUUCCUGCUCGAAGAUGGGCAAGCCUAGCUCCUUAUUGCUAGCUUGGACCUCCACUCCCUACAACUAAGUAUGCAAAAAGAAGAGAAAAGAGAGAAACAGAGGUUCCCAAAAACUAAGUACUCCACUACUUAGUUUAAUAGGACUACAAAACACAACACCUCUUGUGUCUCUAUCUUCUCUACUUUGGCCUUAGCCAACCCUCUUACUUAUAGGCUCCAAGAUAUAUUGAAUAUAGCUCAUGCUAACUCACUACUAAACACACAUUAAAGCACAUAUUAACUCACCCACAAUCACAUAGUAAUGAGCCCUCAUUAAUGCCUAAUGAUUGCAAGAUGAUCAUAAGGGUUGCCCAUGACUCUUGGGUUUCCGCUGGCAGUUAUGAAGGUAUUAAUUGCAGCAGUUACAUGCCCAUUCACCUCUCAUGAAAGGUGUAAUAUCUGGGAUAUUGUAAAAGGAGGAAUUCAAAAUUUCAAAUUUUCAAUUCAAAAAUUUGAAUAUAUAUAUAUAUAUAUAUAGUGGCUAUAUUGCUAUAUUUGUGAGAGCAAGAGGGGAGUGGAUCUUCACGAAUUCGGGACCAAAUCACACGAAACAAAAAUGUAAUCUCGAAGUCCGGCAGUACCAGAAGUGUUGGCAAAGUCUAUUCGCAAUUCUGAUAGCGGAUCGUCCAAAAUUGCACAAUUAUCGAGUAGAGGUCUUUUGGGGAAAAUUGCGUUUCGAAAAAUCCCCCAACAUUUCAGGUGCCAAAUUGUGCGAAAUCACACACGGAGGCGUCAUUUUGUGAGUUACACAUGCUGUGAAGGACUUGAGAAAAAUUUUAGAAUUUUUGUGGGGUUUUUCUGCAUUUUUUCCAUGUUGCUCAAGAGAAACCCUAGGGUUUCUCUUCUUUUCUCUCCACCAUAUACCCCCACAUCCCUCUCCUUCUCACAGCCACCACCUCCCCUCAUCCCUACGCGCGCCGCGCGCCGCCCAGCCGUCAGCGGCCCCUGUUCUGGCCACUAUGAUCCUUUUCUCUCUCUCUCAACCUUCUCUCAAUCUUCUCUCAAUCUCUCUCUCCCUCUCUCUUCUUUCUUGUGGACCCAAGCUGUAAGGAGGCCCGCACCAGCCUCAGGCCCUCUCCCCCUACGAUGCCGGACCUCCGGCGGUCUUUCCCAGCGACCGGUGAUACAGAUGAGUACUUCGAUCCGAAGCCGGUACAGCAGCUCAUGCUCGAUGACUUCUUAUCUUUUUUCUCCUAUUUGAAUUGCAUAGCUUAUCAUGAUUAUAUGCUAAGCAUCUUGCACACUACCUGGCGCUCGUUGGUCUACUCUACAGUUGUUCGUCUUAUAGUAUUAUGAUUGAUCUAGUAGUAAAGUAGCACUCCGGUGAUUGAUUAUCGUUGCAUGACUUCAUCACUGAUGACAUUUCGUAGUUGUUGAUACAGUUAUAUAGACCUGAUAGGUCAGUGGCAUGGUGACAUUCCUUCGGGAAUAUUAGACCGGAUUUGGUCGGAUAUGGUUGUGGAUUGUUUUAUCGGCUUGUUGUCGUUGUUGGCCAUUGAGCAUAUCGCAUCGAUCGCCACAGCUCAUGCAUUUCACGUACACCAAUGGUCCGAUCCACCGCAAAAGGUGUUCUUUUCUAGAAAAGUGGUCGUACAUCUGACCCGUAAGCCCAGUGGCUCAGUGCUGGGUCAUAUGCCAGGGAGACCCAGUGGUCUACUGCUAGAGUCAUAUCCCUAGUAGAGCGGUCGUGGCAUAGCCGGAGCUCCUUAGACCAAUAUGGCAGUUGAUUGGGUAUACUUGUGCUAUCAGUGACAGCUGACGCAUAGUCGUUUCCCUAUUUUCCUUUGCAGUAGCGGUUAUUCAUACCAUUAUCACAGUUGUUUUCAAUUCAGUUAUCAUUGCUAUUACGCUAGUUUGACUGUUGAGUCGUUGCUUUAUUAUCUCACUUUACAGUAGUAGCUUCUUUGGUAAUUAUCAGUGGUUGUUAUUCUUUGUCAUUAUACCGGAUUUACUUGUGACUACUGCUAUUUAUCCCUUCCAUCCACCAUGUACAGCUUGCCUUCGUCGACUUGUGGUACCCACUAGGAGAAGAGCCUUGUUUACAUGUUCUCACCCUCCUCACUAUUUUUCAGGUAGCUCGGUCUAUAAGGGUCAGGACAGUGCGUGAGGACAAUACUAGAUAGUGAGCUCGAGAUAGAGAUCCUGACCUUACAGAAUCAGUUUUGGUUUGGCGCUUACUAUAUGCAUGUCAAUAGAUAGACUUGAUAGCUUAGUUUUUUGCCACCCUCAUACUUGUUAGUAGUUAGACAAUAUCGUGGUUCAGUGGAUUUACUCGCGGAUUUGGAUAUCUGUAGAUUUUGAAUACAUGAAAGAUUUUGGACUGGGCUUUUAAACGAAGUUUUCUUUAAAGUAUACUCGUAGUUUUCACAAAUAAUGGAUAUCUACCCCUCGUGGUAGCUUGUUUACUGUGACAUAAAGGUUUCCAUAUGAAAAAUGAUUUUCAAAGUGAUUUUUUGGUUUUUCGUGGAUUUUUAAAAAUUAGAGUUUCAAAGUGAAGCCUUUGUGUGGGAAGGCACUUUCAACUAGUAGGAAUGAAUGUGAAACUUAAGAAAUGAUAAUUUGUGUGAAUUGUGAAUGUUGUUAGUGUGAGUGGUAUGUAAUGGUUGUCACUUGUACUAUGUGCUUUGCCGUGCAAAUAUAAGGGAGACUCUGUCCGUUUGAACAGAGAAUUUCUUGUAUUUAUGGCGGAUCUGUUGUAAUGUACCGAAAAGUUCGAGUUGCAAUGUUAACUUUGAUCUAAAGGAUCAAAGUGAAGCUUGAACUGGUCGUGUAUCAUUCCCGAGUGAUUUUGGAGGUAUGGGAAUGAAUUCUGAAGAUAAUUGAGUGUUUCGGCGCAAAUUGGGCGCGAAACAAAAUUUACAGAGAAUUUUCGGAUUAAAGCGCUAACUUUGAUUAAAUGAAUCAAAAGUGAACAAUGAGGAUGAUUUAUUGUCACACCCCAAACCCGAGGCGUAACAGACGCCGCAUACCUGCUAAACUAGCAAAUAUGUAAGGCUACAGAAUCAGACGGAAACUAGCAAAAAGAUAAUUACCAAUUUUUCCACUAAAUCCAAAGAAUCAUAAGAUGAGAUUAAGAAAUUGAAUUUCAACUAAAAUCAAACGGAAUUCUAACAUCUAUAAAACUAAAGCUUACUACGAAUCACAAAACUAAAGCUUACUACGAAUCACAAGAGAGAUUCGGUCUACAAAAUACCAUAAGUGACAAAAGUGGGUACGAAGAAAUAACGAAAUAAAAGCAAAUGACAAACGAUUAUAUACGAAGUCCAAAGAUUCACAUCCGAAAAUACUAGAUGUAAAAAAAAAAAGGACUAAAACAAAACUAGCUACGUCUAACGUUCACUUGGUCUCAGCCCCGCCCGGCAAAUCAGUCUCGGUAUCUGGGUAAGCAACCAUACACCACAUUAGUCGGAUUAAGCAUAUAAAUAAAUAAAUACAAAAAUUAAUUUAAGCGACUGGUUUAUAAUUUGCAAAAUUUCAGAAAACAAGACUUUAUCAAAACUUAAAAUUCAGAUCGGAUCGAAACUAUAAAUUUUACAAAGCGUUUCUCUUUCGACAUAUAAACGAAGUAAACAUUAAGUCCCUGACACUUAACUAUAUCAUAUGAUCCGUUGGCGAGAUCCAGAGGCACCCGAAGGUGCAAACAAAGCAGAAGCACCCGAAGUUGCAAACAGAACAGAGGCACCCGAAAGUGCAUGUACAAAACAGAGGCACCCGAAAGUGCAUGUACAAAACAAAGGCACCCAAAAGUGCAAACAAAACAGAGGCGUGGAUAGGCGCAGGCACCCGAAGGCGCAAUACAAAGAUGAAACUAGCUUCUAUAACAAAAUACACGUCGACAUGGCCAACAUUAGCAUAGCAGAAUAUUAGGAGAAAUCAUAAUUCAAAAAUUAUCCAGUCACUAAUUUACAAAACAGAUUAUCAAAUUUCAAAAGUUCAUUUUGCUAAAAAGACCUGUCAAUCACAGUUGAAGCUCAAUUUACAGAAAUAUUUAAUAAUAUGCUCAACCCGUAAUUUUGAAAUCUACAAAAUAAGAUUUUCAUACAAUCUAAAUAUUUUUCUAAUUUAUCUUACGAAAAACUAACGGGUGUCUGGUCGCUUACCUCAAAAGCGGCUUCUAAGCUAAGAAGCUAUCCAAUUGAAAAUUGCGCGAAAAAUCAAUCACCGGAACCUAAAAUAGAGAAACAUGAUUCUCUAUAAGCUACUUAAAAUAAACUUACAAAGAUGACAUAUAUACAUUUAGAAAGCAAGCUUAUACAAAAAUCUGAAUUCAGAUAGGUUCACAUAGGUUGACAAAAUCGGCUACAAAUGCAUGCAAAAAGGUCAAGAUGGAGCACGAAAGAGAUUUAGAAUACAUUCGACGAAACUCAAUUAGCAAUCAAAAGGAUGAUGAGUUUCAAAUAUUAAAGUUUUCAAAGAAGUAAGAUAACAUGAAUGAAGUUUUAGAUAAUAAACGAAGGAUCUAAUGCUCAAAAAGAGGGUUUUCAGAUGUUGAAAUAUUGAUAUGCAAAUCAAUAUUUAGAUAAAAUCAAGAUGGGAACAAAAACAAUGUAUGCCUUCUUUUAGGCAUUUCGUCGAACAUAAAGCGGACAUUCCAAUAAGUGUGUACAAUAUGUGAAGUUUUAUGCAACUAGAUCAUACAGAGGAUACAAGAUAUGAAAUUAAACGGUUCGAACGACGAAGAUUAGAUAUAACGAAAUCAGAUUUUGAUGGUUUCAAAUUUCAAUCAUCAUGAGACGAGUAUUCAAAAUAAUAAUAAAACAAUGAACAAAGAGGUUGGAUGAUCACAAGAUUCGAUAUAGAGGUAAAAUGAGGGAAAGAAAAAAACCUUCUCGAAAAUGGUGAAGAUGACGGCAGGAUACCCUCGAUAGCGAACCAAAAAAUAACGGCCAAAGAGGAUUGCGGCGGAGACGGCUACGGAUGAUGGCGACGAUCGGAUAGCGUCGCGCGCGCACGUGCGGAGCAGCAGACGCGUAAGGUGCUUUGAAGAAUGAGAGAGAUAGGGAGUCGUACGGAAGAGGGGAAAAAAAAAGGAUUGAUCGGGUUAGGGGGUUCAUCCGGAAUGAAAAGAAAAGGAAAAAGAACUUAAUUAGAUUAGGGAUUAAAUAAACAAUAUGCCGCCAAGCCCCCGUACUCAUAAUAUUUACAAAAAGGUCCAAGUUUCAAAAGAAUAGGAGUCAAAACAAGAAGUUAAAAGUAUGGGGUGUUACAUUUAUAAUAUCUCCAAAUCAUUUUGGAGAUGAUAGGGUAGUUAAGUGGCAGAUUUUAGAACUGUUCGGAAGUGUUAGAGCGAAGUUGACGCGAGAAAAUGACUCAGAAUUGCUGUUGUCAAGUACAGAAAACUACAGGGACUACAGUGUAAACAGCAAUUUUAAUUUUUGUGGAGGAUUUAGGAGCAAUUGCUACUAUUGCUGCUGCUGUUGCUGCUGCUAUUGCUGCUGCUGCUGCUGCUGCUAGCUGUUACUGCUGCUGCUGUUAAGUGGGCUGCAGGGACUGUUUUGUAAAAACAGAAUUCCUGCCUCGUGGAGGGGUUUAGUUGCAUUUUUUUGGGCUUAUCCUUAAACCGCAGCCUACCCCAGCUGCUGCUACUUACCAAAUAUCCUCUCCACUUCAUUCUCUUUUCAUUUCUUUUCUUUUUUUCUCUACAAGCCUAGGGUGGCUGAAGUUGGUGAAGAGGGUUUGUGUGGAGUUCGGUUUUCUUAGUGAUUUCAGCUGAGAGGAAGGUCCAGGAGCUGAGAACAGCUCGUGGGAAGCUUCCAAGUUGAGGUAGGUUUGAUCUAAUUUUAGAUUAGAGUUAGGUUAUUGCUCUAAAAGAGAUUAAGCUACAGAUUUUGAGGUAUUAGAACUUCUAUUACCAUGAAAAAUCUUAAAGAAUUGUGUGUGCACAGCAUAUAUAUAGAUAUAUAUAUGUACAUGUGAAUUAUUUGUUGGGGAUGAAACCUGAGGUAUGAGAGACAUAUUUCCUGAUUAUGGUUCAUGGUAUUUAACGUAAAGGAGGAGUAGACAAUAGAAUUUUAGGUUUCUAAAACUAAAAUUGCUAUGUGAAACCUAGAGAGAGCUAUGUAUGUAAAUAGCAUGUGGGUUUACUUGACAGCUGGGAAUAGGGUUAGUAUCCUGUAAUUCCUGAUUAGGGAAUUGAUGUAAAUCCUUUGAAUUAAUGAGUUUUGAGGUUCUUGGGCUACUAAAGAGUUGAAUUAUUCUAUGUAUUUUGUGAAAUGUUGUAGAAACAGUGUAUGUAGAGCCUAAGAUCGAAAAUGCUAUUUUGUAGGAUUGGGAGCCUAGCUUGGAAUUGAUCACAUAUAAACUUAAUUGAGGGUAAAACCGACUUGUUGGGAAGCUCGGAUCGGUGUUUCUACGAGCCUACGGCAAGCUAUUGAGGAAAAACCUUAUUUUAGCUUCGUUUGUCGCAAGCGAGAAUUGCGAUUGUUCCUAAAUCCCGGAAAGUGGAUUUCUCGCAUCCCGGUAUCAAUUAAAGGUGAGUUGUGCUUUACCGAAGCGAUUAGGUCGCUUCCAAGCCAAAGUAAAGUAUGAUUAUUAUUGAUGCAUAUAUGUAUAGUGGUAGAUUAUGAUUGAUAAUAUGAAUGCAUGAAUCAUAUUGUGUUAAUUAAUGUUACCUACCAUUGGAAUAUGCAUAUUGAUAUAUUGUGGAUAAUGCUAGAUGAUGUAUGAAAGUUGACAUAUUGUGAACAUGCUAGGUUCUUAUAAGUUGAAAAUGGGUCGAUAAAUCUAAGUUUGUCAGAGAACUCGACAGUUACAAAGUGAGAACGUGUAAACUACAAUCCUAGGUGUGGACAACUAGGAUGAUAAGUAGAUCGAAUGGCAUGAACCUAGUGUUAUUAAACAUAGAUUGGACAUGAACCUAGUGUUAUUGAACAUAGAUUGAAUAAGUGAACCUAGAGUCGAGAUCUAGGUAAAAUUGAUAUAGAACCUAGUGUGAUUGAACCCAGGUUAUGAGGUAUAGUGACACUUAGUGUACUUGAAACUAAGUUGUGGAUUAUAGUGGUAGAAGGACCACUAGGAAAUGAAUGGUUUAGACCUAGAAAGGUCGACAACAUAGGGUAAGUGUUAAACCCUUAAGAUUUGGAAGUGGAUUCCGGAAUCCUUAGGAAUGGUGGCUGCAAAUGCAGUGGUUGAGACAAGUGGAUUAGCAAAAAUAGAAUCAGAACUGCGGGUAUGUUGGUUCUCCUCGCCCGACAGUGAUUCAACGGGUACGUUAGUUCUCCUCGCCCGGUAUGCCAUGAAGCAAGUGAAUCAGAACUAUGGGUAUGUUGGUUCUCCUCGCCCGGUAGUGAUUCAACGAGUAUGUUGGUUCUUCUCGCCCGGUAUGAGCUCAAAACGGGUAUGUUGGUUCUCCUCGCCCGUUGAGCUUAAGUGACUUAUGGUCUCGGGGUUCGACGGUUCUCCUCACCCUGUGGUAGAUCUAUAGUCGAGUGGACUUAAGGCUGAGGUGCUUGUGAGACGUCCUUCACCUCGAGCCUGACUUGAUGCGGUAUUCUGCAGAUGAUUGACUCAAGAUCGAGUCGGGUGGAUAACUUGAUUAAGGUAGAUGAAACCUUAGAAGCUAGUUGGAUAUGAGCUAUGGAUAGUGAGAUAGAAAGUAGAAUCAAUAGAUCUACUUAUAUAUUGUUGCAUAAUUUGCAUAUUGCAUAUCUUAAGGCAUACACAUGUAUUUAAUAUUUGCAUAAACUAUCUGUGGAUAUCUGUUGGACUAACAUGUUGCAGUGCCUCCUUUGGACCUGGUGGGUCGAGCUCUUCACUUGGGUGGCCGUGCCCACUGGAAACUAUAUUUAUAUAGUUCUCACCCCACGUUGUUUUGGGGAUUUCAGGUUCCCACGUGAGCGGAGCGGCGGCGCGAGGAAAGGGCGUAGUUCCGUAGAUAGCGCCCUACCACCGAGACCAGAGAUAGCGGUACCCUAAAGUGGUCUAGCUAAGGGUAUAAAAUGAAAGAAACAAACUUAUAAUAAUUUGUAUAACUUAGUGGUACUUGAAAAAUGUAAUAUUGUAAUAUGUAUAAGUUGUAAGAUGAAUGCUUGUAAUAGCAUCGUUUAGCAUUUUAUGUUUUUGAUACUUAUGCAAUCUAUGUUGAAUAUUGUUCCUAUUUGGAACCACGUGUAUUGCAUGGAUUGUGACGCCUUGAACGUACAGGGGAAGCUCUGUCCGUUUGGCGGUCCAUUAGCGUGCUCGAAUACGACGAAAUAGGCGGAGCUCGGGGCGUGACAUCUGUUGUUCGUCUUUAGGGUCCAGAUUUCUUUUCUAAAAAAAGGGGUAGUUUUUCUGCCGAUUCUAAUUUAUAAAGACAGCCCAAUUUCAAAUUGGCUUCCAAUAAGGACCCUGGGGCGUGACAGAUUAAGACGGUAUCAGAGAAAUGGUCCAACCACGACUUCACUUAUAGUUUUUUUUUUUAAAUGAAACUGAACCACUAGUUAGGUUGACCCAUAGAAAGACCUAAGAUGAUAGGCACGCGCGUGCAAGGUUGCUGGGAUUGAGUCCUAAUGUUCUGGUCGAGCUUUAAUAGUUUCGAGGCAUAUGGUUAUUACUCCGUGCGUAUUACGAUUUUCGCAGACUCGUGUCUCUGUCGGGACUGAUGACGGUGUACCAAUACAGACAUCGAGUGGCGGGAUGAUAUUCACCAGGUGUAGCCACUCUUAUCAGAUAGGGCCUUGAGGGGCCAGGUGAUAUUAUUUAAUAGGACUAAGCGAUCGUCUCAACUGCCAGUGCCCAAGCCACACUCCCUACAUAGCGCACGAGUUUCACUGCGAGUAUCUCCACGGAGACGGUGUAUAGAGCGAUUUCGACCAUGGCUACUGCGAGGGCUGCUGGAGUGCAGCCCGAGGCUUCAUGACUGUCCGAUUGUGCGGUUGUGGUAUAGGUAAUGCUCCUCUAGGCUUGAUGGGUAGGGCUGUGACGCCUAUUCCAUCCCUCUAUUCAUUAUUGGUGGCACAGUGUCACGGAGAGAGGAGCAAACCCAAUUUUGGGUAAAUGCAGUGUGUUGGCGAGAUCUGACCCACCUAGCUUCGGCGGCAUGACUCCCAACCUUAGGAUUGGGAGUAUGGAUCGUGGUUAUGGUAGGACUCAGUAUAGAGUCUCAUGUGGGACGUUAUGGUCAUUGCUAGUAUUUUCGAGCGGGUUUGCCUGACUUGUUAACUACGUCUUGGUCGAGAUGAGCACGUGGGUUGUACGGUGAGGUUGUCACUCAAUAAAUUACCAGUGCAGGUGCUUUGACUAUCUGCCGGCUCACUUAUCCGGUGGGCAUACUUUGGAACUGCUUUGAGAUGCCAUUCUGGUGUGGGUCCUUAUGGUGCACACAUCGUGUGUGACUGCCCCAACACCUUGAUCGGUGUGUUGUGGGAUCGAUAGGCUUUUGGCAUGUUAUGAGCUACUCCUUGGAAUUACUUGGGAAUCUUAAAAGGGUUAGUAGCUGGUUGUCUGAAGUUCGGAAUCUUGUUGCAAUCACAUUAGUUUGUGCGGGUGGCGACUUUAUGUUGCGGGCCAUCGUCUGUUAUUGUGGAGAGUCGUAGGGCUACUAGGGAGUAGGCUCAAAGGCUGGUCUAGCUUCAAAUAUCCGCUUGCAAACUCAAUAUUUUGAUGGUGUUUUAGUGCACCACGGUGCGGUAUAGAAGUAAUGGUUGGUUUGGUUUAUGUGUCACUUAUACAACUUGUUGUUGGUGAUGGAUCUACGGGUAAUUCGCAUUUCUUUCGAUAAGUACGUUAGCUGCAGACAACAUAGUGUGAAAGUUGGGACGAAGUACCCUAUCCCUUUUAGGAGUAUCAAGAUUGGGUCGAUGUAUUUUUCCUACGAGAUAAUCUCUAUAGGUCAUCUUGUGGGAAGGCUAGAGUAGUGGUCAUCUUCGAUCGGUGAUAGGACUUGGGUAAUUCCCAAGCGGUAGUUGUGCAGUUGAUCUAUGAGCACUGCACAUGGUUGAUGUUCUGUUGUGGGCGUGGUCGCCUACCAGCUCGGUGGCGAUGCCAUGCACGACUAAGCGGUGUUAUAGCUCUUACGAUCUCGGUCAUGCUAUCGAAGGGUAUAAACUGUGUCCGACAUGUGUCAUGAGCUUAGUUGUUAGCUCAAAUGUCACGGCGAGUGACGGCGUACGGUGAGGCAUGUGCAUCAUGAAUGUCAUAGUGUAGGAAAUUAUGAUCCGAUCGUGGUGACAGGUGCCCUUGGGUCUCCCUGAGACUGGCGUUUAGUGUUGCUGAGGACAUCAGUCGCUAGGGUUCCUUUGAGGACGACACUGACAGGGUCUCGUAGAGACAAAUGUUGAGCAGCUUGGUGAGGACUUCACGGUCUAGUACGAUGUCUCACAAUUUGAUUUUAGGUGUGUGCCCAUGCAGCAGGAUCGGAUCAUAGCCUAUGUAUUACUAUAACUGAAGGAUUAUGAGAAGAUUUAUCCGACGCAUGAUCUCGAGCCCGCGGCAGUGGUGUUGGCCCCGAAGUUAUGGAAGCACUAUCUAUAUAGGACACACUGCGAGGUGUUCACGGAUCACCAGAGUCGAAAGCAUGCUUCAGCUAAGGUGUCCUUUAUGAUUGCUAGAUAGGAUUGCUGAGUAGAGGAGUUUCGUCACUUGGAAUUACCCCCACCGGGGCCACGGCCCAGUUGAUGACCUUGGUAGUGCAGCGCACCUUGACGGAGUGGAUCGCGCUCGCACAGCAGACGAAUCCGUACUUGCAAAGAUGCAGGCAGUUGUCGAGUACCGCAAAAGAGGGGGGGACUUCUUUAUCUACUCCGAUGGCUUUCUGCACUUUUGAGGCCGAUGGUGUGUGUCUGAUGACUCAGAGUUGAGGAGAGAUUUACGAUUCGAGGCACAAUGGUCCCAAUACACUGUUCAUCGCGGCGGAACCAAGCUGUGCUGCAUCCUAAAGUUCUGGUAGCCUGGGAUGAAAUUGGUUGCAGCACAAUACAUAACCCAGUGCUUGGUCUAUCUGGAGGUGAAGGACGAGCAUCACCAACUGACAUGGAAGCUGCAACCACUUUCGAUGCCUAUGUAAAAGUAGGAAUAGAUCACAAUAGAUUUCGUCAUGGGAUUACCCCAAUCACGAGAGGUCAUGAUGCGAUAUGGGUCAUUGUGGAUCGCUUAACAAAGUCGGCUCACUUCCUGUGAUAUGGCAGUUGAUUGGGUAUACUUGUGCUAUUAAUGGCAGUUGAUGCAUAGUCGUUUCCUUAUCUUCCUUUGCAAUAGCGAUCAUUCAUAUCAUUAUCGUAGUUGUUUUUAGCUCAAUUAUCAUUGCUAUUGCAUAUUGCACUAGUUUGAUUGUUGACUAUGGUUGGUCAUUGCUUUAUUAUCUCACUUUACAGUAGUAGCUUCUUUGGUGAUUAUCGGUGAUUGUUAUUCUUUGUCAUCAUACCUAAUUUAUUUGUUACUACUGCUAUUUAUCCCUUCCAUCCAUCGGCUUCUACAGCUUGCCUUUGUCGGCUUACGGUACCCACUAUGAGGGAAGAUUUGUUUAUAUGUUCUUACCCCCCCCUCCCUAUUUUUCAAGUAGCUCGGGUGGUGAGAGUCAGGAUAGUGCGUAGGACGAUAUUAGAUAGUGAGCUCAAGAUAGGAGAUCCCGGCCUUACGGUAUCAGUUUUAGUUUGACGCUUACUGUAUGCAUGUCAGUAGAUAGACUUGACAGCUUAGUUUCUUGCCACCCUCAUACUUGUUAGUAGUUAGACAGUAUCAUGGUUCAGUGGAUUUACUCGUGGAUUUGGAUAUCCGUAGAUUUUGAAUACAUCUGAGAUUUUGGACUGGGCUUUCAAACGAAGUUUUUUUUAAAGUAUACUCGUGGUUUUCGCAAAUAAUGGAUAUCUACCCCUCGUGAUAACUUGUUUACUGUGAAAUAAAGGUUUUCAUGUGGAAAAUGAUUUUCAAAGUGGCUUUUCGGCUUUUCAUGGAUUUUCAAAAAUCUAGAGUUUCAAAGUGAAGCCUUCGUGUGGGAGGCGCUUUCAACUAGUAGGAAUGAAUGCGAAACUUAAGAAAUGAUAAUCUAUGUGAAUCGUGAAUGUUGUUAGUGUGAGUGGUAUGUCAUGAUUGUCACUUGUAUUAUGUCCUAUGUUAUGCAAAUACACGAGAGGCUAUCGUUUGAACAGAGAAUUUCUUUUAUUUGUGGCGAAUCUGUUGCAUGUCUUUAGGGUCCAGAUUUUUUUUUUAAAAAAAAAAGGGGGCAGUUUUUCGCUGAUUCUGAUUUAUAAAGACAGUCCGAUUUCAAAUUGGCUUCCAAAAAGGACCACGGGGCAUGACAAAAGGCUGUUGGUUUUGGGCCUCCUUUGGCUACCCACUUAGUGAAGUUGGGCCAAGGAUUUGGUCAGACUGAAUAAUUACUAAGUCCCUGACAUUCUCCACCACCUAACACGCAGACGUCCUCAUCGCGCGCCAAGCCACUCUGCAUAGUCUUGCUCGUAGUCCGCCUUACAUUCGCGCCCGCGCGGCCUCGAGCCUUGCUAUCGCAGUCCGUCUUCACUUCUGCACUAGCUCCCAAUGCCUUGCCCCUCUGAGUGCGAACACCAGCUAGCUUGCUGCACAAAAAAAUUUGUCGUUGAGCCCGAACCAUCGAGUGUGCCUGUCCUCCGCAACACGCACGCACGCACACGCCGCCAAGUUGCGGGAUGCUCCCUAGUCCCCUCGGGCUCUUUGGCUUUGUGCUGGAUAGAGCGACGCUCCCCUUGGUUGGGUAGUUGCUCUAGCAUCAAUUGAGACUUAGCAGUCUCGCCCUCGCUCAAGUUCUCCUCCUCGAGUCCCCCAGCCCUCUCGCACUUCACCUCCUCGCAAAGGUACAGGGUUGUAAAGGUCUGAUCCUUCGUCGAUGGGCUGAACUCUGGUUGAGCCCCUUUGUGUUCCCUGUAUCACGACACUCCCCCACCUUUGGCCUUGCUCGCGUUAGACGGUUUGCCAUGAUCACUCUCAGUCUACUCGAAUACUGCCUCCCUCAUCUUGAGGUCCUCGACCUCUUUGACCUGAGCACCGAUGUCCUGAAGCAGCACAUCACACGUAUCCUGCUCGUCGUUGCGACAGGCAAGAUCCACCUUAAACUGCUUCAGAUGAUGGCGGAAUGUUGUCAUGGCUGCAACAAUAUCCUUCUCCAUCAAGUGAAACCCCUCGUCCAACAACCUCACCGUUUGCAGAAAUGCGAAGGACUGCUCCUCCAUUCUUGUCGUAACAUCCUCCUACAGCUCUGCACAGUACUUUAUGGAUGUGGCCUCCUUCACGAGAGCCUGGGGCUCCUUGCUCUUUUCCCACUUGGUCUGCUUCAGAGGCUCAUCAUUUACGUCGAUGAUGGCAGUAUCUGAUGACGACAUAGUUCCUUCUCGAACCGUCUCUGAUACCAACUGUCACAACCUUAACAUUUUUGUUCGCAAACCCCGUGUGGCGCUCGCCUUCUUGCUCGAAGAUGGAAAAGUCUAGUUCCUUAUUGCUAGCCUAGACCUCCGCGCCCUACGACUAAGUAUGCAAAAAGGAGAGAAGAGAGAGAGGCAGAGGCUCCCAAAAAAUUAAGUACUCGACUACUUAGAAAAAUAGGACUACAAAACACAACUCCUCUUGUGUUUCUACCUUCUCUACUUUGGCCUCAGCCAACCUUCCUACUUAUAGGCUCCUAGAUAUAUUGAAUCUAGCCCACACUAACUCACCACUAAACACACAUUGUUUUACAUUAACUCACUGUAACGACCCAACCGACUAGCAAUAAUAACUCAUUAGGCCAAAACCACCGGCCCAAAAUGCUUAAACCCGAUUAUUAUAAUUAGCCUAAUCAAGCUUAUAUACUCACACAUCUAGCCAUAACUACCCGAUGUGGGGUCGUUGGGGUGUCACAGACUCCCCUCGUUUAGGCCAUGAUGUCCUCGUCAGCCCUAAACACACACACAGAACCCAAGAUUACCAGGCAAUGUGAGACUUGUCUCGCUAGCCUUUAUCAUUCCGACCCUAACUUAACCCGUCAAUCACCGACCCUGACUUAGUCUGUCAUUUCAACCCUGGCUCAGCCAAAACUUAUCUCACACUUCUGGCUGGUGAACUAGCUCUGACCCGAUCCGCUAGCAAUAAUAACUCGUUGGGCUCAACCACCGACCCAAAAUGCUUAAGCACGGUUAUUAUUAAUAGGGUGGAGUCCUCUUAUAAAUCCAAUGACAACCUCAUUCCCAUCCGAUGUUGGACUAUUGUCAUGUCACACUCACUCGCUAUCACAUAAUAAUGAGCUCUCAUGAAUAUCUAAUGAUUGCAAUGUGAUCUCAAGGGUUAUCCAUAACUCUUGAAUUUCCGCUGGCAAUUAUGGAGGCAUUAAUUGUAGCAAUUACAUGCCCCUUCAUCUCCUAUAAAAAAUUGUUGGUUUUGGGCCUCCUUUGGCUGCCCACUUAGCGAAGUUGGGCCAAGGACCUGGUCGGACUGAAUAACCACUAAAUCCCUAACAACGAGCUCAUGAACAACAUCAUAUGCUGAUAAACAACCUCAUUUUUCUUGUCGCUUUCUUCAAUCAUAUUUAUACGAUUACAAAAACAAUGCCAGCUGUGAAAUUUAAAUGUAAGGGAAUUACAAGAUCAGCAUGGAAGCAAUUUGAUGUUCUAAAUUAUUGCAAUUGAAUCAGAUUGUACAAAGAAUCAAUUUUUCACUUUGAAUCUGUUUCACUAUGUUUCAACUUAUGUACAAUCUCUGACCAUAAUCUGGGCAGGAAAUAAUAUGUGAAUGUGUUAGAUCUGUCAUGGAAUAUAAUACAUGGGAUUCGGGAGUUUAAAGGAGCGAUUGCUCAGCGACGAACCCAAUAAGUCACUCCACUGAUCCCCGGAAUUCCCGAGAAUUCUAUAACCAUCUACUUCCAUCUCACGCCUUUUCUCUGAUUUGAACAUAGUCGCAGGUUUCCCCCGAUCAUCCGGACCCCUGUAGAUAUUACCGAGCUUUUACUGUUAGCUACAAGAGCCAAAUGUGCUGCAGCUUAUAAGGCAUUAAGAAAAAUUAUAAUAACAACCGAGGUAUUACAUAAAGGGAGAUCACUCAAUCAGAAAACUCUCAAGAACAAAGACCCUCAAACAAAUUCAGCAAACACCUUCGUGUCCAAAUACUUGGACACUGAGCGUACCAGUUGUUGGCUUUUUAUUUGCUUACAAAUUUGAAUGAAUAGUCGCCAAAUUAGAAGUUUAUUGAAAACAAAUUACAAACAAGAUAUGCCAAAUUUAUACUAGACUUUUUAAGGAAAUUAUUUGAAUUUUUGCAUUGUGGAGAUUGUUCAAAGGACAAGAAAAAGUGCCAAAGCAGGGCGAAUGUUCAACAUUCCUUUUCUUUCUUUUUUCUUUUCAGUGUUUUUUUCAUUCUUUUAAAUAAGUACAAUGUAUUGCAUUCUUUUAGAUGUAGUAUAUUGGCAAUUAAUACAUAUUUGAAAAAUCAACAUUUUGGUCACAAUUGAACUGAAAGAGAAAAAUCUCUAAUUAGAAAAAUAAUUAGAAUUUGUCUAUCAUCACAUCAAUCAUUUCAUAAAUAGCUACAAGAAAAUGGAAAAAUUAAGUUAUACUUUUGAUUUGGGGAUGAAUUUUAAAGGCCAGAAAAGGGAAAAAAGAUCCUCAGAAAAUCAACAAGGACAACAUAAAGGAAUCAUGCGAAGAUCAAUAAUUCAACUCGAAAAGAUUUGUACAGAACUAAAUAAUGCCUAUUUCAGGUAUUAAGAUAUUAUUGAAUAGACUUUGCAGGUCAUCAAUGUAAGGUGUAAACUAUUGCAGAUAUAUGAAAAUAAGUAACAACAAUGAAUGGAUGAAGCACUCUCAAAAUAAAUGCCAACUAAUUCUCAUGUUUUUCCGGCACAAUUUCUUUCUUCCUAUCACACACAGUGAUACAUAUUAGCAUGUCUCUUUCUCUUCACAUGUUUCCUUGUAAGAAUUUUGCCUCUUCCCAUAAGCCAUCAGUACAGGAAGCCACAUAUAUAUCUAGGUGCUUUCUAACUCAAGAAUAAGUUCUUGCAGUUAAUACUACAUUUUUCAGUCCACUUGACACAUCACUCUACUCUUUAUGUUACCACAUGUUAUUAUAUAAACUUAAGCAGCCUGAGAAAGUAACAGUUUAUACACAUACUGCUUCAUAAACUUAAGGAACCUACAAAACUAGCACACCGUAGUUUACAUUAUCAUGCAAGCACAAACAGACAGAAUCGACACCUCUAGACAGAUCCAAAACUAAAAUAAUCAUACAAACUGUAAAAAUGGAAUAUAGGAUGUGUACCUCUCCUUUAUUUAUUAAAUUUUAUCUAAUUAUGAUUUAGAACUAAUUAUUUUAUUAUGCAUUAAUUGAGCGGAGAUUUUAUGCGUAUAAUUAGUUUAAAAUGAUGUGAAAUUUGAGCAUCAAUAUUUGGUUAUGGAUGGGCCAUAUGUUUGAAGUUCCAAAUAAAACGGAUUGGCGGGUGAGUAAUUGACACAAUUUUAAAUCAAAACAGCCUAAGUCCUAAGAAUUCAUCAUAAAUUGCAACAGAGAGACAUGUUUGGAUCAUAAAUUGCAGCAGAGAGACAUAUAACCAAACAGCAGAAUCAUAGAAGUUUACUUAUAUGAGGUUUUAAUGCUUGGUAUGCAUAUUAUCUGUCCGGAACUGUUCAGUUAUAACUUGAUAACAUCAGAAUCCUAGAAGUUUACUUAAACUUAUAGAACGCUUACUUCAAAGAUAUUCUAGAUGUUAUACAAUUUGUUUUUAAUAUCAUAAGUGCAAGCUUUCUUGACAGGACCAUAAUUUAUCACUAAGAUCAAAGAAACUUCCUGCCUUUUCACACUUCUCAAUGCUUACAGCAAUCGGAGAGAACUUACUAGUUGUGGACAUUCCUAGAGAAUAUUUAAUAUUAUUUUGUUCACAGGAGUGAAACAAUCAUCAUUUACUGCUUAAUAUUUGAUGAAUUAGAGGAACAGACAAUGAACACGAGGAAGCAAACUUCGCAGAAAUAGGUGUAACAACAAAAUGAUGAAUAGAUACAACUGUACAGACAGCUUCAAAAAGUUGUAGUAUAAGGUAUUAACUUACCUUCAUAAAAGAUUGAAGAACAUUGAACAAAAUUUCAUCAGCAAAUAGUUCUACACUACACAGAUUUAUCUUCAUAAGGGGCAUUGCAAGAAGUACCUUAAUAUAAGCCUGUCCCAAUCUUGAAACCCGACUUUCUUCAGGUUCUCCACCGUAAAAGUCCUAUGGCCUUCACUUCGCCCUGUUAGCAAGAAAACCUUAAAACCCAGUGCUCUGACUUCUUCAUACAGCUUCAGGCUGGACUGAAUAGCUGGAGCUAUUGACUUCUCUACCCAUUUGUCAAACUCAUGCGCAUCAAAAAGCUCAUGUCUGCAAUUUCUCAGAAACAAAAUGAAUCAUCAUAACCCAAAAGACAAUUUUAAGAAAAAAUUAGAAAGGAUAAAAAGAUUAGUGGUGUUGCAUCUCCCUCUCUCUCUCUCUCUCUCUCUCUCUCUCUCUCUCUCAAUGCUCCUAUGAUGUUUAACAAUAUCGAUUUCCUAAUUAAUUAACCUAGUACACUUUAGCCUCUUUGCACCCAGAUUGGAUUGGACAAUAUGAGACGAGAAAGCAACGUUGGAAAGGGACUGUUUACAAACUUCAAGGUAUCAAGAAUCAUGACAGGUAGUUGGUGGGGUCUGGUUGAAUAUACCAGAUAUUUCCAAUCAAAUCCUGAUCGAUUACACCCUUUCAAGUGGGAUUUAAUACUGCCGUCCUCCAAUAUCGCCUUCUCAUGUUAUCUUGUCCAUCCAACCCUCGUUGUCAAACUGACCCUCUUGGAAAUAAAUGUGCCAUGAAGAACAUAUGAAUAGAAACAACAUUAGAGGGGCGUGAUCACAAUAUGAUUUUGAAGUCAUUAUGAAGUGAAUAAGUGGAACCACUGGGGAAAUUUGCCAUGCAUAUCAAAACUAUUUCAAAUUAGAUCCACUCUUCUGUAAAAUUAGAAGCUUGCAGUAAUAUUCUCUUCCCUGGACAGUACACAGGAAAGGGAUUGAAACAAGUGCCGCGGCCGAUUGGCCAUAUCCUCAAGCCAAAAAUGCUACAUACUUAUAUCCCUAACCAUUGUCCACAUCACUAUUAAACGGAAGCAAAAUACCAUCAGUGGAAAAUAAAGCUACAGCAAGUAUCCAACAAAUUUGCGAAAGCUUCUUUCCAGCAAUCACACACCUGUAAAAUCAGCUGAUGUGGCAAAAUUGCAACCAUCAAAACUGAGAUAUAUCUAGAUACCUAUUCUUCAUGAAUGUUCUCAUAUUAAUGUAGUGAUUAUGUUAAUUUAGAUUUUUUUUUUUUUUUGAUUUUUUUCUCAACACAAGUUCUAUAUGAUUGGAUGAAUUGGUGGUUAAAUUUCUCUAUUCUUAUCAUUAUUGGUUAGCUUGCAAUGUGCAUCAGCUAAAUAUAGUAAGAUAUCUUCUAUAAAUAAUAAAUAAAGAAACGGUAAGAAAAGUUACUUCUAAGUUUUUGUGUUUCAUAAGCAGUGAAAUUUCGGGGGUACAGAUUGCGAGAAAUCCACCAUUAUAAACAUAAGAACUUUGUCAUGCCCACACACAGUUCCGCACAUAUAAAAUCAUAGCAUUCGUGCAAUUCAUGUGAGAACCCAGAUAGUCCUAUAUAUAAAAUAUAAUAAAGUUAAAACUCUUAAUCCGGUCAUAGCAUUUUGGACAGUGGUUAGACCCAAAAAAUUAAAGGAGUUAAGCGUGUUAGAUCUAGAGUGGUCUUAGAAUAGGUGACCCCUGAAAAGUGGGGCGUCACCCGGCUAUGAUAUUUUAGACGAUGACUAGACCCAAAAGAUUAAGAAAAUUAAGCAGGACUACAAUAGUCUAGGAUGGGUGACCCAUUUUUUAAUAGGGCUAAAUCUCUUAACCCAACUAUAGUAGUUUAGAUAGUGGUUAGCCCCAGGAGGUUAAAAAAAUUAAACGUGUCAGAACUAGAGUAGUUCUAGAAUGAGUGUACUUUUUUGAAAAGUGGGGUGCCACAACAGGUACCUCCAAGUGUACCUUAGAAUAUUGCUGAUGACAUAGAAAGGUCAUUAUUAAUUGCACUCUAACUAUUACUUACUAAACCUCAAACAUUAUUAUUAAAUCCUAAGCACCAUCAUUAUACCCUUAUCUCUAAACCAUACACCCUAACCCUCCACAUGGGUUGCCCAAAAAUGGGGUACCCCAAACAUUUCUCUUAUUUAAAUUUGUUGAUGCAUAUCUAACCCAAAAGGGAAAGAACUUAUGCUAUGGAUUAGUUUUGAAACUUACGCGUUCGUCGAUAAUUAGAAGAUGGAUUCCAAUUCAUAAACUACUAGCUUAAAGAAAUAAUAAUAAUAAUAAUCCCUUUUGGCUCAUGACAACAUAUUAAGCAGGACUAAAAUAGUCUAGGAUGGGCGACCCAUGAAAAAUGGGACAUCACAAUUUAAAGAGCUACCGGGACAUUCACGCGUAUAAAACUGAAAAUCUCACCCAUAGCCAUGAUCUGCAUAGUAGGGGAGGUUGGAGAGCAGCGUCUCGUCGACGUCAAAAACCCAGACAUCCAUCCCAUCCCCGGCCAGCCGGACCGAGCGGGCGUAGGCGGCGGCCGACUGCGCGACGAUCUCGAGGUCGGACUUGUACGCCCUGCCGGUCAUGAACUCCCUCACGUACCCGGCGCAAUCCGCGGGGACAGUCUUCCACGGCCCCAAGUUAUUCGCCUCCGCCGCGAACCGCCAGCUGCUGCACCGCAGCCGGCGGAGCUCCGCUGAUUCUUCUCCCUCUUCUUCUGCUUCGCCUCCGGCGGAUCCGGCGAUCGAGGGCUCGGUGCCGCCAUGGGAGGGUAGUUCGAGGAUGAGGGGUCUGGGGAGGAUGUGGGGAUCCUGGGAGGCGAUGGAGAAGAGGGGGAGGAACAGGAGGAAGAGGAGGAGGAGGGGUUUCAUGGUGGAGUAUGGGGGAUUGUUGGGAGGAUGGGGAUAAUUUAUUGAAGAGAGCGGAAAGACUCGGGGUUGGGCGGCGAUGGAGUGACGUGCGAGGAAAGCGAUAGGGGUAGGGGAGUCGGGGGCGAAAGGUCGCCACCAAAUUAAUUUGAAUCUGGGCGUCGCCCGGGCAGCGAUGCUUCUAAUGCAAGUUUUAUAAGAAAAUAUUGCCUGCACCGGGUAUGUAUCGAUUUCUCAUGCACCACACCUCAAGAUAUGGAAUCUGCAUGUGAAGCAAUCAAAAUUGAAAUAAUUGCUUUCUAUAUUCAUAGUUUGGUUGAGAUGAAAAAUAAAAAUAAAAAAAACAUAAAAAUUCACAGAAUUUAUCUUAACUAUAAAUUAUUUUUUAUUUGAUUAGUUUGAUUAGAAUCAAGUCAAUUGUACUUUCACUUUUAAAUUUGUAUUCAUUGUUUGUCUUUAUAGUUUUGGUUAGUAUAUUUUUAUAAUUCUCACAACUAUAAAUUUAUUUAAAAAAUUAAUUGCGUACAGCUCCCUGUAAACGUAUCGAAUAGCAAAUAUAUCCCACAGAGUUCAAUUUUUUAUUUUUAUCCGUGCAAAAUUAGACCAUACGAUCUCAUCUGUAUUUUCAAGACGAAUCCAAUGACACUUGAAUCGCAAAAUUUCGCCUACGAACAAAAAAUUAUGCCUCUUUUACGAAUCAGUCUCUAAAACUAAAACUGCUAUUUACAUAUUGGUCCCUGUCUUGAUCUUUUAAACCAUGGUAAGCACCCAAAUUUUGUUGCACCAAGUCCAACACCAGCAGCGUGCACCAGAAGUUUUUUUGGUUAGUUAUAGUUUAUUCGAUAGAGGCAAAACACUCUAAUUAUUAAAUUAAUCAUGUCUAAUAUCACUACGAUAAAUUAAAACACAAAUGUUAAAUAAAUUAUGUAAAAAUUAAUAUGGUCCACCGUGAACCGGGUCUAGCCAAAAUCCAAAAUAAUUAUAUUUUCUUUCUUCUCCUUCCUAACCUAAUCAAAAAAAUCUCUCCCAAACCCCUCUCAUGGUCAACCAUAAUCACUCCAUAAAGGAUUCACCUCAACCCGAUCGUAGAUGACCGGCGAUGGUGACGGUGAUGGCAGUCCAAAGAGGAGGGAGGAUAAGAUUAGGAGGUAGAAGAAGAGAGAAAAGAAAAAACAAGAGAAUUAAAUAUUGGAGACUCACCUCGCUCUCGCUUUUUUUUUCCUCACGAUCGUUGAAUCUUCCUCCAACCGGUGGUCAUGCUCGCACAAAAAAUCCCACCAUAAUAUUUUAUAUUAUUUUUUAGCAGUAUAUCCUUUCUAAAUUAUCUAUUUGUAUGUAAUUAUGGCUAAAUCUAAAUCAUACUCUAAUUAGUACGAAAUAUAGCUAAUCCGAAAAUCAAAUCCAAUCAAAUCGGCACAAAUAUAUCCAAAUCCAAAUUUAUAAUAACGAAUUUAUCAUAUGUAAUACACUGGAUCUUAGCAAAUUGCAAGAUUCGAGUGUUUUAUUGGUGUGUGGGGCCUCUCCACAGUUUCUGGAGGGUCGUUGAUAGUGUUCCGACCCCUGGCACGCACCCCGAGGAUGUUGGUUUGAAGCUUGGUACCAAAAUCCAAAAAUUGGAUUCAUUGGACAGCUCUCGGGUAGCCUGCAGCAGGGCUUGUACCGGAACAAGACUGGCCUUGUACCGGUACAAGGGUUGAUGGUUGUACCGGUACAGCCAUCGGGCUUGUACCGGUACAGAGCCGCAGACCGCGCGACCCGAGCCUCGGGUUUGCAAUUUCGUCGGCCUUGUACCGGUACAAGAGCCCGUGUACCGGUACAAGGAGGCAGUUUUUGCUGCAGUUUGAGUACUGCAGGGGUUUUUCGCGAUUGUAGCCUAUCUAUUAGUAACCUCUACGCCCGCUUAGGGCUUCCUGAGCUUCUCAGCAGCAGGAGAAGAGGUAGGGGAGUUCUCCACACCCUCCUCUCUAUUUCUUUGAUUUUGUUGGUUUUAUUUGUGAUUUAAGCCUCUCUUUUCCCUUUUUGCUAUUCCUCAUGGUUGUAGCCAGGCUUGGAUUGGAGCUUUGUGGAAAGGAGAUCUUGGGACUUAAGAUAGUUUAGAGCUUGAUUAUGAAGCUUCUAAGAGGUAAGGAACAUUGUCUCUCCCUCUUAGCAUUCGAGUUUUAGGAUUUUGAGAUGAAACCCUAGACUUUGUGAUAUUGGGUUUAUUUUGGCCAAUUUGAAUCUAGGGCAUUUUGAAGCUAGAUUUGAUUGGAUUAGAGGGCUUCCAUUAGGUUGGAUUGGGAUGACCUAGCUUCAUUUUGAGCUUUAGAGGAGAUUUUGACUAGAGGUAGUUGUCUCCCCCCACUCAUGUCUUGAUUACUUAAUGUUUGACUAGGAUUCUGUUUGUUUGCCCGUAUGACACAUGUUCUGUUAGCCUCUCAGGAUACUAGGAGACACUAGAGGACACCACUCGUUGUGAGCGCACGCAGGUUCGCUUGCCAUCGGUGGGUUUGGCUUCCUUGAAAAUUGGAGGAAAAUUCCUCCUAAGUGGUUAAAUGCUUUCAUGCUCCUUAAAUUCAUGCAUAUUCAUGUUGUAGUAACAUUUAUGAGAGUUUUGAAUGCUUAGCAAACUCAUAUGUGUGCAUCAAGAAAAUUACUCUAUGUAAGUAGAGAGAGAGAGACAAUGUGCUUUGUUAAUAUGCAUGCGACAAAUAUUUUAUGAGAUGAUAGGAAAUCAAGUUUCAUGCUUCGGUUUGACUAGAAUUGUAAGUUCUUGAACUUAGUAUCCAUGUUGGACAAAAUGAGCCAUAGUGUCAUAAAGAGGCCUUGGACUAGAGAAUUAUUAAACUCAACAUAGAGACUUGAGAAUAGGCCACAUUACAUCAACUAUAUUCCAUAUUGAGAUAUGAUGAAAUAGUGACUUGGCACGAGACAUUUACUAUAUAUACCAUGUUAUUGGACAUGAGGGCUUGGUACUUGCGACUGAUCGUUUGACUACUUGCCAUUGUGCUCAUUCGCACAUGCUUGUGAGGGUCGCUCCCUACAAGCCGGCACUCCGGAGAUGGCCAUCUCGAUACAUAUUCGCAGUGCGAGGAUUGGGCGCCGAAGUGGAUUGCCGUGGGCCAGGCUCAUUCCUGGGGUGGGGAUGAUGACUACCACGGGGCCAUUAGGCGCACCGGGCCAGGACAGCCUACGGGUGGGUCUCAGGGCCUUAGACAGCCUUCGGGUGGGUCUCUUCAGAUUUGACUUUGAGCAUUUACUAUGACAUAUGGACAGAUGAUGACUUAGUGUACUGACUGGAAUUUGACUAGAAUAGUAAACAUUGGCACUUUACUAUUUUGCAUUAUGGACAUCAUGAUAGUUGGAAACUUUUACUACAUACAUAGUUGCUUUCAUACUUAUGCUUUUCAUGCUAAGUAGAAAUAUCAUGUUGUAGUAAGUUGCAUUCUACUUACCUUUCGCUUUCUAACGUUCAUAGACACUGACCCUUUCCUUGUAGCUUGGGCCUUGUGGUGCAUUCACUGAAGUCAGUAAUUGCCCACUGGGAACUAUUUUAAUAGUUCUCACGCCCCUGUUUCUAGGUUUACUUUUCAGAGCCUUCGGCACCGGCGGAGGCACGGGAUCGCGGCAAGGGGAUCGCUUAGCUAGCUAGCGAGGAGCGGUACUUUGCCUAGGUGGUUUACUCUUUCUUUUUGUAGUUGAGAGAGAGUGAGAGAUUUUGUAUCCAUGUAUAGAGACCACCUAUGUACCUACUUAUAGCUCUUGUAUUUGGGAUUUCCUAUUGUUCUUACUCUAUGUUUUAUUUAGUGGAUUUACAGUUUUAACUUUAUCCCUUGUUGUAGCAAUUAGACAUUUACUAUGCUCUGAUACUCCUAGAUGCCUUUUAUUAUUGCUUUUAUUAUUGUUGUUAGACGCCUUAUGCGUUUUAGACGCAUGGCGGGUCUGGGCACGUGCCGGGCGGGCUUCCGCUGGGUCCCGGGGCGUGACAUCAUAAAACUACAAUCACGUCACGUCUGUAUAUUUAAAUUUUUAUUUAAAUUAAUUGAGUGCUGGGUAUUACAAAAAAUACUUUAAUUGGUUUAGAUUCUGUCGGUUGGAUUGGAUUUUUUAUUCAUUGAUCAUCAAAAGCUGAGUACGGUGCACAAGAGAUGCUCAUACAUCAGGUAAUAAUUUCUGAUAUGAAUACUCCAUCUUGGAUCUCUUCACCACUAAAUUUUCUUUAUUGUUUUUUGUUAUUAUAGGUACAUUGCCUCGUGUAGUCGAGAUAAUAAUAUUAAUUAAAUUACAUGUGUGAUAAAUAAUAAUAUUUUUUUUUUGUUAUUAUAGCUGACUCUUUAAUUUAACAUGUGUGAUAAAUUUAUCUUAUUAUAUUAUUGUAAUAUGAAACUGGUAGCCGAGAUAAUAAUAUUAAUUAAAAACAUGCUUUUGUCCUUUCACUUAUUAGAGUAUAACUUCUAAUGCAAGUUUAAAACAAAUUUUGUUUUUCUUUUACUAGGCAUUGCGCGUUGCUUUUCAUGUAUUAACUAGGUAAGGAACCCAUGCUAUCCAACGAAUUCAUUUAUCUUCUUUACAAAUAAUUAAUGAAUAAUUAAAUAUUUUUUUAUAAAGUAAAUAAUAAUAUAUUUUAGUUAAUUAAAUAAGAAAGUUUUAAAGACAUUUUCACAUGCGAUUAAUUAUAUCAAAUAUGCAAGUUUUGAUUAUAAACANUUUCAUGUAUUAACUAGGUAAGGAACCCAUGCUAUCCAACGAAUUCAUUUAUCUUCUUUACAAAUAAUUAAUGAAUAAUUAAAUAUUUUUUUAUAAAGUAAAUAAUAAUAUAUUUUAGUUAAUUAAAUAAGAAAGUUUUAAAGACAUUUUCACAUGCGAUUAAUUAUAUAAAAUAUGCAAGUUUUGAUUAUAAACAAUAAUGCUAAUAUUAACACCCGUUCGGGUCAGAUUGUAAAUUCAUAAGUUUGUGUUUUAAUUAUAAUAAAACCUUAAAAUAUAUUCGCGGAAACAAAUCGUAACAACUAUCGACGUCAUAACAGCAGCUAAAUCAGACGCUAAACAUCAAAAGCAUGCAAUCAAUACACAACACAAUCUAGCAGAAAAUAAAUAAACAAGGAGCAUCUAGUUAUAUAUUACCUUAUAAGCUAGUAAACCAUCAGCCAACAUAGAAGCAACAAAAGAACUCCCACAUUUCGACACCGCCAUUUCGCCAAAAAGAAAAUAAACAGGCAUAAACAAAGAGCAGCUAGUUAGCACACAGCGUCGUAAACAUCGCAAGCAAAUUAACAACGGCAAAAUAGGCGCACCUUUUUUUCGGACAAGGAACAGAGCCAACCCGCCUAGCAACACGGCAAACAACGUAUACCCAGAUGUAGCAAGAAGCAGAGGACGGAAAAGAGAUCAGUAUACAUGAAGGGAAUAAAAUGGCCAAUAAAAAUCAAGGGGGGUUGGAUAAAACGGCUCUUCCACACCUUACGAUACCAGCUGCGGCAAACUAAAGCAACAAAGCCAACAGAACAACCAAGCGCUAACCAAAGAGAAGAGUAAAGAAGCAAACAAGUAAGAAGGAGACCAAGAGCAGAGAUGCUAUUUAUAGCAAAAUCAGGCAUUGCAAUAAGAGGGAGGAGAUCAGUUUAAGGGGAAAACGGGGGAAAAAAUGAGAAACCCCAGGGUCAAAUCGAGAGCCCAUACACCCUAUCAAAUCCGGCCAAAUCGCCACAGCCAUCUACACCGACGAACGCAUUCCACGCCGCCCCGGCGAGUUGCUGGAGGCCACGUCGUGGAGGAGGAAAAAUUAGGCAUUUCAAUAAGCAUGGAGGAGAUCAGUUUAAAAGGGAAAAAAAGAUCCCUGUCAAAUCCGCCCAAAUCCUCACAGCCAUCUACACCAUCGCGCGCAUCUUACGCCCGCCCGGCGAGUUGCUGGAGUCCACGUCGUAGCGUAGGCCCGCCACCACACGCAACAAAAGAGAAGGGGCUAAGAUCGUACACACCACCCCCGCCAUGCCACGGCGGAGAUAGCGAUAGGCCCACUACGCAAUCGUCCUGGCAAACACAGGAGUAACGGCGGCUGGCCAUGUCGACGACGGAGAAGGAGAGGGCGAACCGAAGCGGCAUGAAAAAUCGAUACGGCAGAACCCCUAACGGGGUAAGUUUCGCAUUGAUGGCCGCAUUAAUGGCCGAAAAGAAGCCCGCGCGCUGCAGAGAUAAGCUUCUCUCUCUCUCAGGCGGUCCCUAUAAAUAAAUAAAUCCUCCGGUUCACUGCUCUCUCUCUUAGGUGGUCCACAAUGUGAAGCCCACCUCGUGGACUGCGUGCACAGAGGGCAAGUGAGCCCUGCUUUUUUCACUGUAGCAUUUUCCUAUAAAUAAAUAAAUCCUCCAGUUCCUUGCUCUCUCUCUCAGGUGGUCCACAAGGUUAGGCCCACCUCGUGGACCGCGCGCACAAAGGGCAAGUGAGCCCCGCCUUUUUCACUGUAGCAUUUCUCUUUCGGGUGGGCCCCGCUAGUUCCGUGGGAUGCGGAGAGGCUAUAUUAUAUAAAUAAAUUUAAAUACAUUAUGUAUAUAUAUACUUUAUUCGAGUUCGAGGUUGGGUUCGGGUCAGGGUCAGAUUUGAAUCAGGUAAAUAGUAAAUCCAUACUCACAUAGUCACAUCUAUAUCUGUCGGGUUUUAAAUUUCUACCUAUUUUGCUCAGGUAAACCUGGCCCGUUCCGAUUUAGAUUCGGAUAAUAUUUCGGGUGUCUAUACCCAUUGACAUGCCCAUAAAAUUACGAAAAAUAUAUAAAAUAUACUAACUAAACAUGUAAAAUAAUUAAAUAAAAGGAUAAAAUAAAAAAAUAAAACUCAAGUACAUUUCUUUCAAAAAAAUAUUUAAAUCCAAAAAAAAAAUUUCGGCAGAAAAAAAAAAAACAUGUAGAGUUUUAACAUAGAGUUAGAAAGAGGGAAAUAAAAAAAAAAUGUGGAGUGUACCGAUUUAUAUAUGUUCUCGAAAGAAAAGCGAAAAGUAUACAAAAUUUAAGAAUCAAAAUCGACGUUAAAAAAAAGGUUAAAUAACCGAUGAUAUACCAAUUUCGCUAAUCCUUAAAUUUUUUUUUAACAACUAUUGUAACUUUAUAAUAAAAAAAAUGAAUUGCAUUUUAAAAAUACUUCUACAACAGAGAAAGAAAAAACAAAAAAACCCAACAAAACCCUAACCCCCGCCCGCAGCACGCCCGCUAGCGCAGCUCGCGCGCGCCGUCCGCGGCCCGCGCCCGAGUGCUCCCUCGCAGUCGCCCCACCCUGCCCCCUCCUCGCUGCCACGUGGCGUGUUAGGGUGCUUCGUUCCGAUUCAUAAGUUUACUAGUUAAGGAACCCGUGCUACGCAACGGUCAUUUAUCUUUUUUAUAAAUAAUUAAUAAAUAAUUAAAUAUAUUUUGUAUAAAGUAAAUAACAAUAUAUUUUAAUUAAUUAAAUAAGAAAGUUUUAGAUAUAUUUUCACAUGCGAUCAAUUGUAUCAGAUAUACAAAUUUUGAUUACAAACAUAAUACUGAUCUUAACACCCGUUCGGUUAAGAUGGUAAAUUCAUAAGUUAUUUUUUAAUUAUAAUAAAACUUUAAAAUAUAUAAUUAUUUAUGCUAAUUUUUAAAUAUUUUAGAUUAUAUGUAUUAAAUAUUAAUUUUAAUUUUAUAAUUAUUUAGAUAUAAAUAAUCCAUUUUAUAAAAAACACUACAAUUAAGUUUUUUAAAAAUAUAUUUAAUUACAAUCUAAUUAUAUAAAAUAUACUAACUAAAUAUAUAAAGCUAAGCAACACAUUCAAAAUUAUUAAUAAUAAAUUUAAAUUUUUAAAAUUUAAAUUUAAAUUUAAUUUAUUUUUGUAUGGUGGUAAUACACUCUAAAAUAAGAAGGGUUAAAAAAAAAAGAAAAAAAAAUCAAAAGAGAGAGAGAGAUAGGAAUGGGUCUAAAAUAAAUAAAUCAGUUUAAAAUAAAUAAAAAUCUCAUUGUAAUAUUAAAAAAUACAUAAUAUUUUUUAUUAUUAUUUGUGUAGAAUUUACAAAUAAAAAAAAACAGCGCCGCGCUCGCGCCCCUCGAGCCCGCCGCCACGUGUCGAUCCAGAAAUUCUCGGGUUUUCAAUUCAUAAGUUUAAUUAAUUAAUAUUACUAAAUUAUAUUAAAUAAUAUUAUAAAUUAUAAAUAAAUAAAUAUAAAUAAAGUGAGAGAAAAAAUUUAAAAAAAUUGUAAAGUGUGUGAGAGAGAGAGAAAUAAAGUGAGAAAUUUUUUUUUAAAAAAGUAAAGUGUGUGAGAGAGAGUGAGAGAAAGAAACAAAAAAAAAAAAAAAAAAAAGUGGGACCCACAGGGACCCCCAACCCGGGGAGCCCUGGUUUCCCCUCCUCCUCGGUGCCCGCCACGUGGCGCCCUGUGAUGCAGUGAUGUGAUCUAGUUCUCAAAUAAUAAGUUUAUAAAUAUAGAUUAGAAUAUAUUAUAAUUUAUUUUUUUAUUUAAUUAGAAUAUUAAUAAAUUUAUUUAAUAAAAAAUAAGGGAUAAUUGCCCAUAUACCCCUCAAAACUUCAGAAAUAUCUCACAUACCCCUAUUUUUUUUUCUUUUUAAUAUAUCCCUCGUAUGUUUUUCCGUUAUUUCAAAAUACUUUUGUAGUUACCGCCCGUUAAAUUAACUUGGGUUAAACAUGAGUUAAAUAUCUACUAGAGUUAAAAAAAUCAAAGUAUCUCUUUUGUCCUUAAUUUAGGGGCAAAUAAAAAUGUUGGUGAUGAUAGAAGAAUAUAUUUGAAAAAAUCAAAAAUCAAAAUACUUUUUGUAUCUCUAACUUAAGGGCAAAUAAGAAAAGUCAAUAAUUGUGGAAGGAUAUAUUUGAAAGGGUAUAAUAGUAAUUUCAUACAGAUAACAGAUAUUGCUAACAGUUCAUUAACAGAAUUAAACUCUAUAGAGUAUACAAUUACUAAAUUGAAACUAUUACAUUUUGAAAUUUUUUCAAAGUUUACAACAUUUUGAAUUUCCAAAAUAUUACAUGAUUUAUGCUUUUACAAAAUGAUAUAUACCAACUAGACCGACUCACACUGAUCCGGUUAGUUUGCAAGGCUCUUGCCACAGUCCUGUAACUCACCGACGGUGGAAGACUCUAAAAAAAAGCUCAACUACAAUAGGGUGAGAACUUGAAAUACGUUUCAAGUAGGUGCAACAAUCGAAAAUGGCAUUUCUACACUCACUCAAUCCAAAAGAGGCAUUAAUAGGACAAUAGUAGUGAAUAAAAUAUCUAUUUCUAUAAUAAAAAUGCAAAUAAGACAAAGCUAUUAUGCCUCAAAUAUAAAUAAUACUAGCACAGUAACCCGUGUGAUGCAUCGAGUAUUUAUUUUACUUUUAGAAAACUAAUUAAUCUGAAAGAAUUGUUAAGAUUCUUUGAAAACCUGCAAGCAAAAUAGAAAAUGCACAUCAGUAUAGAACUGAUAAAAUUAGGAUACAUAAGCAAAAAACCCAAGUUUAAGCUAAAAAAAAUACUGAUAAAAAUAGAAUAAGCAUAAUAACCCAUCAAAGCAAAAUGUAACCUUUCUAUUCACCAAAGUGAUGAUUCAUAAUAACCUAUCAAGGCAAGCUAUGGUACCAACCUACCAGAGCAGCAAGCUAUCACUAGAACAGGUAAGGCUCAAUCCGGUUAGCCAUCAAAAUUUUUUACCAUCCCGCAACCGAAAAAAUAACCAACUAUUGUUACUACCCGCACGCUGCAACAAUGACCAAUAGGCCAAUCAAGUUGCCGCACCUUCUUAGGCCAUAGGCCAAAAUCAUUAUUGCCUCAAAAGAAAGAAAAGAGAGGAAAAAUAGUAGAGUGAGGCUACUAUGCUAUCGGAAGCACGGAGCCUUCCGUGCUUCCAGCUCGUUUUCGAUGUUGUGACUUUCGAAUCACCGAUCGGCUCCGUUAAACUUGAUCUAGAGUAUUUGGAGUACCUAGAAAAUAAAUUUUAUUAUUUUUCAAUAUCAUUUGCCUAGUGAUCGAAUGAGCUCAAAAUCAACAAAUUUCAAUGGCCGUAGUGAGCCGUUUGCAAGUUUAACGGUGUAGAAAUAUCCAAAUCACGUGAAAUUUUGAUAGAAAAUUCUUUAUACUAUAUAAAACAAGAUCAAUAUCUUUGAUUUAAAAUUUUAAUGUCAUAUUAUUACAUUUUGUAAGAUUUUUAUUUUUAGCCGUUGAUUUUGAGCUCAUUCGAUCACUAGGCAAAUGAUAUCGAAAAAUAAUAAAAUUUAUUUUCUAGGUACUCCAAAUACUCUAGAUCAAGUUUAACGGAGCCGAUCGACGAUUCAAAAGUCGCAACAUCAAAAACGAGCUGGAAGCACGGAAGGCUCCGUGCUUCCGAUAGCAUAGUAGCCUCACUCAAAAUAGUAUGCUCCUCUAGCAGCAUCAAAUAAAAAAAGAGCUUUUUUUGCAAAUAGCCCCAUAAAAAAUUUUAUUUUCGAAAAUAGCCCUGUGUAAAAAUUAUUUGCAAAAAUGGCCCUUGUCCCGCCCUGUCAGCGCCACGUCAGCGCCACGCGGGCGGGGCUGGGCCAAUUGUAUAAGUUGAACACGGUGAAUCAUUCACCGUAUUCAAUACAAGAUUUUUGUAUUGGACACGGUGAAUGGUUCACCGUGUCCAAUACAAAUACAUUCGACUUAGCCAAAAAUGGCUAAGUUGUGGGUCUUUGUAUUGGACACGGUGAACCAUUCACCGUAUCCAAUUAUUUGUAUUGGACACGGUGAAUGAUUCAACGUGUCCAAUACAAAUAUAUCCCACUUAGUCAUUUUGUAUUGGACACGGUGAACCAUUCACCGUGUCCAAUACAAAAAUUUUGUAUUGAACACGGUGAAUGGUUCACCGUGUUCAAUAUAAACACUUGGCCCAGCCCCGCCCGCGUGGCGCUGACGUGGCGCUGACGGGGCGGGGCCAGGGCCAUUUUUGCAAAUAAUUUUUACACAAGGCCAAUUUUAAAAAAAAAAAUUAUCAGGGGGCUAUUUGCAAAAAAACCCCAUAAAAAAAGGACCUUGAAACGAACUUAAAAUGGAGAAAGAGAGGGCAGCACUUUUGACCUUCCAUUCCUCCGAAAGAAGACCACCUUGGAGUUAAUGCCCUUUUGGCCAAGCUACUGCUACGCUUUCUGCUGCGGCUAUCUUUAGAAAAGCAUUAAGCGCAAAUUUAAAAGCUUUUGUUCAGUUGGAAGCUGGAUUGAGAGAAACAUCAUCUAUUUCCUUCCCCUUUUCUUUUCUUUUCUUUUCGUUCUUUUUGAGGGGAAUUGCAGGCAUGGUGUUAGUGCCCUUCUGAACUGCACUAAAAUAGCACUCUAUGCAGCACAGCAACACCCAACAAUAGCCUAAACACUUCAAUAGUCUUCAAUGUACCGCUCAUUUCGUUUGGCCUAUUUGCACUGAAGAGCUUCUACAUAAAUACAACAUUAGUAGUAGCCAAAAAGCCACUAAUAGCACAAUAAGGGCAUGUUUGAUUCAAAAUAGAAAUCUCCUAAUUUGGAAUAUGAAUGGGAAUAGAUCAGAAUUAAAAAAAAAAAAAAAAAGAAAGAUGAAAACUCAUAAUUUGUUGGUUCAUAAGAGGAAUGGAAUCAAAAUCAUGUUCAAAUUGAAACAAAAAAAAUUAAAUUUUAAAUAAAUUGUAAAUUUACUAUCCAAAUUUGUAAUCAAAAUUUGAAUCUAGAUUUGAACCCACAAUUUGAACUUAACACUUAAAUGUACAUUUCAAAUUCAAGUUCAAAAUCAAAUUCAAAUUUAGAACUAAAUUGAAGAUAAUAGAAUUCUAAUUUAAACUUAAAAAAUUUAAAAUUAAAAUUUUGAAUCGAUAUUCAAACUCAAAUUUAAAAUUAUAAUUUAGUCUACAAUUAAAUAUAGAUUAAUAUUUGAAUUUAAAAUUGUUAGUGAAAAAUAAGGUGUUCUUUUCUCAAUCUCUUUCUUAAUCGAAGUUAAUUCUCACCUCUAUGGUGGGAAUCAUUUUACGGCGAUUCAAUGCCCCCCGGAAUGGGAAUCAGAAUGCUAAUCUCUGAAACCAAGCAACAAUAAUAGGAAUGGAUCAUUCUAAUUCUCAUUUCAAGUCUCCAAUCCUUCAAAACAAAUAUAAGGAGCUCUUUAAAGGACAAAGUAUUGCCUUCACCUGGCCCAUCACAUCAAUUCAUGAAUCUUACCAGCUAAUGUAACAAAAAGAAAUUCUUUCUUUAACCUGGUCUGCCUCGCCUUCAGUAGAUUUGCUACUUAGCAAUGCCAACAAAACCAAAUGCACUUUCAUGAUUCUAAUAAAGGAGCCAAAAAUAUGACAAUUGUAGUAGAGCUAGGAAAAAGGCUUUAGUGCCAACAAUAACUGAAUAAUUAACAAUCCGCAAAACUAAAGAAAAAUUCAUGAAUAUCAAAAGAAAUCAAUAAAGGUAUGAAGUAACAAAGCUUGAAAACUAACUUCUAAAAGCCAAGACAAUAAGAACACCGAAAAUAAAAAUGACCCAAAAACAACAAACAUCAGCAGAAAUGUAGGUUAUCCUGAUAGUAAAGUGUAGGUUUUAAACUUCAGAAAGCAAAAUGCAAAUCAUGAUGUUUAUAAGGGUUUCUCGCACUUCAAUUCAAUAAUAUCUACUACAAAUAAAUCGCACUAAAGAAAACAUAGGCAGUAUAAAGAAAGGCUUAGGUUCACCUAAUCAAAUAGAAUCAAGAAUUUUCUCUCCCCUCCCCUCUAGUCCUCUAAAUCAAAUCCCUCGGGUAAGCAAAGAGGCGGUAUUAUCGUUAACACUCUUAUACUGACUUAUAUACGCAAGCACUUUGUGUUCUAAUUUUUUCAAAACUAUGAUAAUCAAGAUUCUAUACUUGUGACAAAUUAAUUACAUAAGGUUUUUUAUUGUUCACCAUUCUUUAACAACUUAGCUACUUAAAAACUGAUAUGUUAUGUUGUAGGAUAGGAAGAUUGACCAUACAUGACAAAACCAUCGACUUCUUACUAUUUACACAAUAGUUAAUUAAGUAGUACUACAUUAUUCGAGAAACUAAUUAUUGAAAUUAAGUGAAAAGAAUUCAAUCAUAGAUACUUCACUUCUAUUCUGAGAUUCACUUAAAUAAAAAAAUUGUAUAAGAAAAAGAUGCCAAUUCAAAUAAAAAGGCAUUUACAAUUUGAUACCUGAUUCCAUUGAAAGAUUGUUGUUAUUGAUUGAAGGACAGCUUUCCAUGAGAGUACUGCGCGGAUUUUUCUUGUGAUCAACCUAUGAAUUCCGAUUUGGAGUUAUAUUUCGAUAGAAUCCAUUGUGAAGUGAUGAAGCAUGUCAUGCAUGUUCAACAUCUGAUCAGUUCCCCAAUUCUUUCGUUGCCGCUAAAAAUGUUGAUGGAAUUUGGCAUUCAGCAUUAUUAAGAGAUUGUUCAUAGAAACAGCAACCUGUAGCAAUAGAAAAUGCUGACGAUUUGCAAAUUUGUUAGCAUAAAAAUACCUGCCGCCGCCCUCCUCUCCUCCUUCUUUGCUGCCGCCACGGCCAUCGCUCAUGUCCCUCACCUAUUCCACCACAGAUUUAACCACAGCUCUUACAGAAGUUGAUUUAGAAGUAAUUCAUUACUUUAUCACUGUCUAUAAUAUUAAUCCUUUAUAAAAUCUCAAAAUAAUGGAUAACAUAACCAUACAUAAACAAUUCUAUAGGAAAGUAAGAGGAGGGCUUCAAUUACUCAGCUAAAAUCAACAGAAAAUUUUGAAUUACAAUAAUAAAUUGUGAGUCCUAAUUUUUGUUCUAAUCAGAUUAGUCUGGAUUUUUUUUCUUUUUUUGAGGAAUUUGAAGUGAUCAACUAUAGAAGUAUAUAUAUUAGAUUAGGAGUUGAACUCUCGAAAACACAAAAUGAAUCUUUUGUUGGUGAAAUAUUUUAAGGCAAAAUUGAGUCCUUGUAUGAAAAAUAAUAAAGAGUUAAGAUUAUCCUAAUGAUUAAAUUGUUUAGAUAUUAAUAAAGUUAGUUUUACAAUUCAGAGAGAUUGAUUAACUUUAGCUAUUGAUCAAAUUUUGCUAUUAUUAUCUAAAUUAAAAUAAGAUUUAAUAAAAUUAAUCUGUUAAUGGAUGGCUUCUAUUAGAUCCGCGUGGCAAAACUCCUAGCUGAUAACAACAAGGAACCAAAACAACCGAAUUAGUAUAUGAAAAGUACUAGAUGGAUAACGUACCAAUUAAUUGGGAGCAACAUAUAUCUUAAUAUUUUGCAUUGAAAAACUCUUCAUACUUUCAUUACUCUUAUGUAGGGAUGAUCUCCACAAGCACGAUGACAUCUAUCAAGAAUUAUUAAGUACACUAUGUUCAAAGUCAGGAAGCAUGCUGCCACUUGACACUCUGCCAUUAAUUUCUCAUCGCCAUCCACCACGACGGCGGUGAAGAGGUGCUUCCGGAAGAGGUCGAUGAUGGCGAGGCAGCGAAGGCGAUCGUAACCUAUAAAAAAAGGCAAGGAGGGUGUCACGCCCCGGGGUCCCAUUUUGAUUUGAAAGUAAAGCGGAAGUGCCCAAAAUUCUUUUUUUGAAAACUUGACCCACAGGAUAUACCAGAUCCGCCACAAAUACAGGGCGUCCACUGUUCACACGGACAGAGUCUCCCCUGUAUUUGCACGGCGUCGCACAAGUACAAGAUACAAUAAACAGGAUACAACCACUACAUAUGAAUAUACAUACAUUCAUACAUUCAUACACCAUUCACAUACAGAUUCACAUUCAAAGUUAUAACCAUAAAUCCACAACUAUUACUUUGAAAUGUUUCCUACCCGGAAACGCGUUUUAAAACACUAAGUUAUGAAAACCAAGAAAACCCUUUAAAAACCGUUUCCCAUAAGGAAACCUUUUCUUUUUAAAACUUGCUACCACGAGGGGUAGAAAACCGUUUCCAUUUCACAGAAAUCCCGAAUUCAUUAUUACAUUCAUAAAACCGUAUGAAUUCAAAAGUAAUAUUCACUGAACCAAAUAAACUGUCUAAGUCAUUUAUUUAAAGAAGUUAGGUUAGAGAAUUAACCAACAACGGGACGGUGGCAAUAUUGGUCGCUAGACUAACACCUCAAGAAUAGUUCCACUAGGACCCGCGACGUCACUUGUAAUGGGGGUGGGGGGUGAGAACAUGUACACAUGUCUCCCCUCCCAGUGGGUACCGCAAGCCGACGAGGGCGAGGGGUACUCACCGGUCAAGGAGGAUAAACAACAAUAUGGGUAAGUGAAAUACAGUAGCAACAAUAAUAAAUGAACAGGAUGUAUAAAUGCGCAACUACCGCUACUAUAUGUAUGCAUCAACCGGACGACAAGUCCAAAAAUACCCAAUCUGAAACCCGUGCUCUAUUGGUCAGCACCGCAGACCUCAAACUAGUGCCACUGCCACUCUACCUGUAAAUAACCCAGUCCUAAACGCUGGGCUCACAGGUUGCAUAUAAUCCAGUUUUGACCGCUGGGCUCAUGGGCUGGCACAUCAAACCACUUUUCCGGAAAAGAAUACCCUCUUGUGGUGGAUCAGACCGCUGGUGUUCGUGAAAUGCGAACGAGUAUGUGGCGAUCUGUCACGCCCCAAUCCCCGCCAAUUUGGUCGGCUUCGGGUCACGUCAACAGACGCCGAACGGACAGAGCCUCCCCUGUCCGCCCCAGGCUCUAAUACAUGUAUAGUAAAGCAAUUAAAUAAUGAGAUUAGCAUUUAUACAAGGCUUGCGCGAGGGCAAGUAACAACGGAAGCGAAAGCUCUAAGCUAAUAUAUUCAACCAGACAUAAUACUUGAUUUCCUUUGAACCAAAUAAAAGUAAAUUACAACUAUUAUAUUCUUUUUCCAUUCAACAUAAUUCUUUACAUUUUAGCCAUCCAUCAGAAAUACAUGAUUGUUUACAACUUUACAUCUCUAAAUCAACAAAAGAAGUUGAUACAUGUAUACAAAAGGAAUGACUACAAAAUGCAUAAGUUUUGGUGGCCACUAGCUAUGGCGCUAAACCCUUGCCUCGGUCCUCCGCCGCCCCGCUCGUGCUAGGACAGUGGUGUGAGAACUACAACGAAGUUCCUAGUGGGCUCGACAACCGACCUCGCCGACUUGCCCACUAGGUCUAUCCAGGCAUAAGUAUUUCAACGGAAAGAAGGUAACCAAUACUAAUGCAACUAAUACUAUGCCUGUAAGAAAACUGUUAGUGGAUACAUACAAUCGAAUAAUGAAUGCUCAUGCAUGCAUGCUCGUUUCAUACUUUACUUUGGCUUUUUACCCAAUCUUUCUGGUUAACCUUGUUAAUCCCAACAACUCACAACUCGAAAUCCCUUAAUAACGGGGGACUCGAACCACCCUAGGGGCCGUCCUCUGGGGGGACUUUACCACGCCCAGUAGUGACCAACUCCGGAGCGCACCGCUCGAGGGGGAGCUACCUCCCUCAAGCCAAGACUUAUCGUGAGUAUCGAUCCAACCCUCAACUUGAGGAUACAUAGCCACUAGUCAUAAUGUCAUUGUCUUAAUAGGUUUCUACCUAUUUGUUCAUGCUACUUUCCAAGUCAUACUUAUUACAAUGUCAAUAUGGUUAAACUAUGUUUAACAACCAAAUUCUCAAGGCCAAACAUGUCUCUAUUGUCGAUGUUACCUUUGUUUACUAUUGUCCAAGUCCAAAUCUCACAUUCAUACAUCUUUAGGGUUCUACCAACAUGUUCAUUAUGAUUUUUGUUCAAUCACUAUGUUCAUCUACGUUAGAAGCAUAAUAUUGAAAUUCUCACCAAGGCUCACAUGUAAUUUAACCCUACUAUGCAUGAAUGACUAUACAAUUAUAUGCUCAAUAAAAUGUGAAAUAGACAUAAAGGGGAAUCCGAUGAUUCCGGUGUGCACCCCCCACCUUGUGAGUAAGUAGAAGAAGAACGCAAUAAUCUCCCGAACCUUACGAACGAUGAUCCGCGUCCUACAACCCAAAAUUGUGCCAAAUUAGGCCCUUUGUAUAUGAACUACUUUCAAACAUUUUCGUAAUGUUAAACAGAGUUGUCCCACGCGUCGGGGGCACCCCCAAUUAGGUUUCUAUGGGGUCAAUUCGUCCCUGAAAAAUCCUAGGGCAAAAGCCCCAAAUUUGAGCCCUAACAAUGUCAUUUUGGCACUUCUCCUAGAUUGAUCUCAACUCUAAGCAAAUAAUAGCUUAGAAUCAUCUAGGAAACAUUCUAAUAAAGUUUCCAAGCCUUUGGAACCAUCCCUAGGGCAUCUAUGGUGAACCCUAACCAUCCACCAUGAGAGCACUUGAGCUCUCAUGGGUUUCAUGGAGUUCAAGGCUUAUAGAGGGUUCCUAAAGCUAGAAACAACUCAAAACUCCAAAACUUAGGGAUCAAAACCAAACGCUAGACUCAUUUGUACAAAUACCUCACCUUAGCCCAAAGCUCCUCCAAGUCCUUCUUGUAGGAGAGCUUGCUAGACCCACCAAAGCCACCACAAUCCACUUCUCCUUGCUUCUUCUCCUUCUUCUCCACCAAACCCUAGAGUUCUAGAGAGAGAAGAGAGAGAAAAUGAGAGAAAGGUGAGAAUGGCCUGUGGGAGAAAGAGGGCUAAGCAUAUAACAUGUUGCAACAAUAGCAACUAAACCCCUCAACUCCCAACAAUUACAUCAGCCUUUACUGGGCAAUUUUCGCAGUCGGGGACUGGUCUCCCCGACCAGGGACCGGUUCCCGAACGUUGGGUUUCCAGGACUUAGCCAAAUUUUCGGGUUUUUGGCUGGCUGCGCAGCGAGGGACCAGUCUCUCCUUCAGGGACCGGUCUCCCGAGGACCGGUCUCACUGCCAGGGACUGGUUGCCUCAGGAUUGCUGGCAGGCUACGCGUACGGGGACCGGUCUCUCCUUCAGGGACCGGUCCCCGAGAGCACAAAAUUUGGGACUUAGCCAGAUUUUGAAACUUCACUCUCUCGGGUCCCUUUACACUACAUAUAGGCUCCAAAACACUACUGGCCCAUGCCAACUUGUUCCACUCCGCAUUCCGCACACUUCGACGGAACUCGACACGUUUCACGAGGGAUGCGAUAUGUUACACGAUCGAAUGCUGAUAUGCUCAAUAGCAAACCGUCGGCAACUAGCCGACAAUCACCGCCCCUCAGGGCACACUGACCAAUAGGUCAUCGAACUGUAAGGAACACAAGUACCGACCACUCAGGUCAACUAGGAUGGAACAACUCAACAUCCUCCCAAAGAUAUGCAAGUACUGAUCAAUAGGUCAACAAAAGUAUAAACGCAAGAAUCGACCAAUAGGUCACAAGAGUGUAUCACUAUAAUUCAGAACUCGCCGUCAGCUACUAGCCGACAAUCCUAUCCCCUCGGGGUACACCGACCAUAUAGGUUAUCAAAUAGUCCAACCAACCAAGUAGGUCAUGAUAUCAAUGCAAUAAGCCGACCGAAUAGGUCACAGCUACGAGAUACGAGAACCGACCAACCAGGUCACAGAUAUCACAGAUACUCACGAAACUGCUCUACUCUAAACAUGAUACAGGAUAUGCAAAACAGCAAAGUAGAGCAACAAGGAAACAUAGUAUAGGUGCUAGGCUCAACAUAUAAUAUAUGCAUAUAGAGUAAUAACGGGAGAACAAGGGUAAGAGGAUAUCAUCGAACGUGCACCACUGUACCGACUUCAGAUCGAAGUACCCACCUGUACGUUUCUGGUACUGGUCUCUCCACUGCGGAGACGAAACAACCGGACCUACGAAGGGUCCACAGGGUUAGAAUUUAACCCACAAACACAAAACACUAACUCACAAACCCCCCAAUAAACCUAGGGGAAUUGGUUUCCCAAGACCAAUUGCCGAACUCACCGGAAGUCCCGAAAAUCGCACCGGGACUCCGUCGGGACACACGAACAGUCCCGAAACUCACAGACUCGUGCUACGAGUCACCCGCGCGCCACUAAACACUUACAUUCGUGUGGCCUGGCAGCAAAAAUACUAUCUCGCAUCGAAACGAUUAUCAUCGGAUAGUCGUUCCGAUCCGGGUUCCCGGAAGUGUCUAUUUCGACACCGGAACCCACUGUCGCUUACCCGUCAUUUUCGAACCCAUGAAACAACGCAGGUGACCAGCCAACAAGGCUUGACGACAAAACUCAGGGCAUUCUAACACCGUCGGAUGCAAUCCGAACCGAAACCGCGUUUUGCCAGCGAAUUUCGCCGGAAAACGCACCGAAAUCGAUAAUCGAUUUUCGCAAAAGGCAUCAGACCUUGGACAAUCAGUCCAGAGGUCACCCGCAGCCCAUAUGUACUGCCCACAGCAACCACGGAGUGCACAAAUGCACAAAAGCCCCUACUAUACCAUAAAAUCACAUCAUUUUAUGUGAUUUUAAUAGGUUUUCUAGCUCGACAACACAAUUCGAGAACUUUCGUGGCUGACCGAGACCCACGCUGAUAGGUCUCGAUGUACCGGAGGCCAUGCUCAUGAUUCGGAGCAUGGCCGACCACUGUGGGGAGCGCGGGAGCGACGCGAAAAUCUGCGAAUUGCGCGCAUAGCAUGAAAAACAUGCUUAUCUAGCAAACCAGGGGCUCUCUGACCCCAACGAAGGUGGCCACGAUGAUUGGCACUGAUAAAGAAUCAUCGUGCUCACCUUCGAAAGCCUCGAGAUGGCCUCGGGUCACCGGAACAGUGACCUGAACCCGAGACAGUGCACAAAAAGGCUAAACUAAAGCUCACCGGGCAAAGGGGGCCAUGGCACGACCGGCGGCGGCUCGGCAGUGGGCGCACCGGCAGCAGGCGGGUGCUGGCGACAGAGGAAGUCCGGGGCGAGCGUCGGACAGCGACGAAAGGCCGCGGCGGCGACGAGCAUUGAUGCCCUAGCCGCAGCAAACCAGUGGAGAACACGGGCUCGUUCCGGCCGGCAGGGAGCUCCGGGGGCGGGGGCUUCGGAAUAAUCCGAGUACGGCCGACCAUGGAGGGCCAACGCUCAUACCGAUCAGCGGCGAUAGGCGGCGGUGGCAGCGCGGGGCGGAACCAAGCCAGCACGGCCUCAUCCCGGGCUCAGUGGGUUCGUCCAGCCCAGGUGGCGGCCGGAGCAAACAAGGAAGGGGCGUGGCCGUCCUCUGGCACCGAGAGUAGGAGGCGGAGACGGCAGCCGGCGGCCGAGACGACGGCGCGGCACGGUUCGGUCAUACCAGUCCGAGCUGGUUCGGGGUGGCUGCAGGGAACUAGCGGCGGCAGCGGCGGCCUGCGGGGACGGCGACGAUGAUCCCUGGUCUGGCGCGGGGGCUCCAGAGGGUCGAGGGGAGUUGUGGGUGGCCGAGGUAGGGCGCGGGGGAGCCGGCGCAAGAGCUACUGCCGCGCGCGUGCCCUAGCUGCUCCCUGUGGGUCGCAGGUGCAGCGGCGGCGCACGACGGGAAUGCGGCAGUUAGAGGUAGAAUGGGCAUGGUCGGGGUGACGCCGGCAGGGGAGCGCCGAGGCAAGGUGGCCUCGGGCCACGACUCUAACCCGAGAGGAAACGGGAGGGAGGAGGUGGAGAGGAAGAGCUUGGUGGUAGCCAUGGCCGGCCGGGGCUGGUCGGCGGCUGCGCUGGCUGCGCGCAUGGAGUUGAGCAGGAGGAAAGGGUCGACGGCUAGGGUUCAGUUGAGAUUGCAAGAGGUUAGGAUUAGGGUUUCCAUGAUGAAACCCUAGAAACUAACCUAUAUAGCGACGAUUAAAUUGCACGCAACUUCCUCAAAUUGCAACGCUUUUCGCCGAGACCCUGACCAUGAGUGAAUGACACCCUCACGCCAUAACCCACCAAGUUUCAUGAAAUUCCACGCAUAAAAUAUGGGGGGUUUCGCGCGAAAUACCAAAAAAUCAAUUCGACCCUUCCUCGGUAAACGUGCAAUAUCUGGCGAUCCAUCUAUCGGAUUUGUGAACAGACUGCGCCAACGCAUUCAGCACAACCAGGCCAUCGAACUCACAAUUUUGUUUCGCCCGAAAAGGUCACCGAUUUGCGACGAAACUCAUCCACUCUCCAAUUACCAGAAUCACAUACAAAUACAUAAAUUAUAUGUAUCUCCAGUUUUCUCGAAAAUCGUGCGUCAGAUCUAAAAUCCGCCAGCGCCAAUGGUUUCAAAAUAGUCGAACCAUUGAAAACGAGCUAUUGGAGUCUUAUGAACGGAGUCCAAUACGCACCAGAAGCCAUCUCCACUGAUCGGCCUCUCCGGAAAAUCGAAGUUACUAUUCACUUUAAGUGAUUAGUAAUGCUCGCGUAACUUCUCCAUUCUAACUCAUUUUCUGCUGAAACUUGACGAGUGCUUAUGUAAUUAAAUUACACACAAUAACAUCGUCAAUAAAGAGUUAACUGUAUAGCAAAAAUCUCAGUCCUUACAGAGGGAGGGGGCUGGGAGGAGAAGGAAGAUAGAGGAGCCGUGGAGUAGGUGGGUUAGAGUUGACGUGAGGAUGAGAGAGUAAGGGAGACAUAUGAAAAAAAAAAAACAAUGGGCGUACAGGCGGUAAGGUAGAGAGGUAUAGGGAUAGGUGAACCACCACAAUGAUAGAAUGUUAUGACAAAAAAAAACACAGACGGGCCUAUAGUCCCCAUAAAUGCAAAGGGGGCUUGUUUUGCUUGCCAAAUUAUAAGUUUAUAAAUGCUAUAAUGAGAUUCUAUGUUAUUAGCUUAACUAUUUUUCCAAACUAUCUCUUAACACUAACAAACUAUUUGGUAGGCUCCAUUUUUUUUUUUCACACUUCAUGGAAAGUCGUGGGCGAUUGGCAUCUAUCCAAUUGGUAAGCACUUAAAGUCAAAAGUGAUUGACAUCUCCAAGUACUAUAUAGGGAGUCAAAAGUGAUUAGCAUCUCCCACUACAAUAUAUCGACUUGAGAGUGAUUGGCAUAUCCCGUUGUGAUACUUCCGAAGGUCACGACAUGUCUCACAUUUACACUUUAAGCUCUCAUUCUUGAAAUUAUCUUUCGAUAAGUCUCUCAUUGAAAUUUUUGUGUUAUUCUCGGAUGUAAUUAGUAUAUAAAUAGCCUACAAGGCUUUGUGAGGGAUACGAAUGAUUAUUGAAUAAAAUUUGAGUUUUUUUGCAAAAGUUUUGAGUGGAAGUUUUUUCUUCCUAGGGUGUUCCUGAUUCUGGCGAGGUUCGGAGUUAUAAUAUUUCAUUUGAGUCCCUCUUAAUUUUUGCAAAUUUUGAUUACCAACUUGUGAGGUUUGGUUGAGAUUUGAGAAAUUGGAGGGUUUCAAGUUAGAGAGAGGUGAGAGCAUUGUGUUCAAAUAAACAGGGAGAAGAAGGUUGAAGACGAGGUUUCUUUCUGUGCGCUUCCUGAGGAGAUCCUGUUUGUCUCUGUAACGCCCCAACAUCCCGGGGGUCACCCAUCCUAGGACUACUCCCGUCCUAGCACGCUUAACUCUCUUAACCUCUUGAGCGUUGCCACCACCCAAAAUGCUUAAGCCGGUUUAAGAGUUCUAGCCCUAUUAUAUCUUAUAUAUAGGACUAUUUGGAGUCUCACAAUUUCCCCCCCUUAAGCACUGACGUCCUCGUGAGGCUCAGACUGACAAGUACCAGGCGAUGUGAGACUCAUCUCGCUAGCCUUGUCAUUCCGACCCCGGCUCAGCCGAAACUCAUCUUACACUUCCGGCUGGUAAUUGGCUCUGAUACCAACUGUGACGCUCCAACUUCGCAGGGGGUCACCCAUCUUAGGACUACUCCCAUCCUAGCACGCUUAACUCUCUUAACCUCUUAGGCCUUGCCACCACCUAAAAUGCUUAAGUCGGGUUAAGAGCUCUAACCCUAUUAUAUCUUAUAUAUAGGACUAUUUGGGGUCUCAGUGUCUCCUUGCACAUGUCAACUAGCACAUAUGCAUGUGCUUUAGCCUACAACCAGUAGCCACCUAUUUGGAUAAACUCAGUUUAAAGACAACAAUAGAUUUUUUUUCUUUCUUAUCUACAUCUAAGUCUAUUGUUGGGAAUCCGAUACUCGCUCUAGUACUAGAUUUUGUGAAUCCGUAACCAGCUUCGACACCGACUAUUCUUGAUCUGGUACCAGAUGUUGAGAUUUUGCAACGGAAGUGUCGAAUUAGGUUUUUACCAUAAACCCGUCUUCUCAGCAAAAGCUGAUACAUUCAUAAAAGAGAGAAAACAAUCAAACAGAAAAUAUGCAGGUAAAAUAAGAUUCAUUAAAUAAGAAAAUAUUACACCUGACUUAUCUUCUGCAAGAGAGUAGCUACAACUAGAGCCUUCUUUUUAAAUCUCUCGUACCCUUCUCUCGUCUUCUAUAAACCUACAAUAAGACAACUCUCUCUUUUUCUCUCUCACAUGCACUCGUGCACUAGGUGAAUACAAUUGGGCCUAGGCUUCCCUACGGUACGAUCACCACCAUAAAAAAAAACUCUCUUAUUCGUACACCAACUAGGCACACUCACCAAUUGGCAUACAUGGAGUUAUAUAUAAGGCUUCACCCAAGAUGUAUCCAAAUCCUAGGAUAAUUAGGAUUCCUACUCCAAAUAAUAUUUAAAUCUAUAAUUAGUUUAUCUCUAAUAGAUUUAAAUAUUUAUCCUAAUCUAGUUAGAUUUAUACUCUAAUUAAUAUUUAAAUUUAAAUUUAUCUCCGAAAGAUUUAAAUAUUAAUUCUUAUCCAACUAAAAAAUCAACUACAAAUCUUGCCAAACCCUAACAUCUAUGCAUACCAUCUAUUGGUAAUGAAAAGCUUGGUUUAUAGAAUAGUUUAAUUAAUUUCUAUUUUCUUUCCUCGAAAAAUUCAUAGCCUUAUUUUUAUUUUCCUAAAAUUUCAAAAAAUUAUUUAGUCCAUUUUUUUCUCAUAAGGUACUUGAUUACGAUCGUUGUGCGAAACUCAAUAACACAGACAUCUACAAGCAUAUAGAAGAUUGUUGCAGAUAGAUCAUGAGUUGAUCCGGACUAAUCGUAAUAGCUUAAUUGCGUGCUCGUUGGACGUUGUAUAUUACAAUUUCUUGUCUGGUCAAAUUUCCUUAUUUUACUAUUUUUUUUAGUUGAACGUACGUUCUUUUUACUAAAAAUCAUAAAAAAAAAAUUGCUUGUUUAAUUUUAUUUUGCAAAAUAUUUUGCCUGCCACAUCUAAAGAAUAACCACUUGUAAGAUAAGUUUGCCAUCUUGAGUGUUGCAUUGGUGGAUAAAAUAUAGGAUUAUAAUUUGUCCUGCAUCAAUUACACAAUAAAUGAAAGAAAUAAUAUAUUAAAAUUUUAAAAUUUUAAUAGGAUAUAUUAAUAGGACAAUAGUAGUGAAUGAAAUAUCUAUUUCUAUAAUAAAAAUGUAAAUAAGACAAGUGUAGCUACUGUGCCUCAAGUAUGAAUAAUGUCAUAAUGAGAUUCUAUGUCAUUAGCUUAUCUAUUUCUCUCAAACUAUCUCUUAACACCAACCAACCAUUUGAUAGGCUCUAUUUUUCUUGCACUACACACUUCAUGGAGAGUCGAGGGCAAUUUGCAUCCCUUCAAUCGGCAAGCACUCAGAGUAGAAAGUGAUCAGCAUCUGUGGCACUCCAAAAGUCCUAUAUCGGAUGGGAAUGAGAUUAUGAUUAGGUAUAUAUGAGACCAUGUAUACCAUUAAUAAUAACUGGGUUUAAGGAUUUGGGACUGGUGGUUUGGGGUCAACGAGUUAUUAUUGCUAGUGGGCCAGAUCGUUACAUUUGGUAUCAGCGCCAAUCACUGGCCGAAAGUGUGUGACGAGUCUCGGCUGAGUUAGAGUCUGAAUGACAAUAUAACAGGCUAUGCCAGGGUUUGAAUAAUAAAGUAACGGACUAUAUCAAAUAGGGUCUGGAUGACAAGCACUACAAAAAAUCUUGCAUUUAAGGACACUUUAAACAAUAAUUAGUGACGCUGUAAAGCGUCGGCAAAAAUAAUCUCGACGUUUGUAAAAGCGUCGAGUAAAGAGUCGUUAACUAAACAUGUCGGGAUAAAUAUACCGACGUUUUAAUAUAGCGUCGGAAAUUUUUUAUAAAUAUUUGAUAAAAAUAUGUUUAUUGGCGACGCUUAAUUAUAGUGUCGGCAAAUAUCAAAUAUAAAAGACGCUAGAAUAAAGCAUCGUUUAAAAAGCGUCGUCUAAAACAUAUUUUAUUGUAGUGAAGGCCAGGGAGACAAAUCUCACAUCGCCUGGUGAUCUUAGGCUGUGUAUGUGAUAGGGUUGACGAGGACGUCAGGGCUUAUAUGUGGGUGGUUUGAGCCCAACGAGUCAUUGUUGUCAGUGAGCCGGAUUGUUAUAGCAUCUCCAAGUACUAUAUAGGG